rnacentral:lncRNA from 1 species
CCAGCUUCCAAUUUCCAUCACUAGAUGAAGAAGCAUCUGCUACUAAUUUAUAAUCAUCAGAUUGAGAGUCAUAUCCGAAUCCGGAGACACCCGAUAACCUAACUCGAUCAACAAAAUUGGGACCGGGCAACUCAAUGCACUCCCUGGUAGUCGGGUUAUAUAUGACAAAAUUGGAGGGGCCAAGUAAACAUACAAGGCCAUCGCAGGACCCCACGAUGCGGGGCUCCCACAAAGGUUUGAUCCCAUGAGGUACCACCAUGCGACCCUCGCCGCCGCCGUCGUCGAGCGCUUCGUAGUCCACGGUCUUGAGGGAGCCGUUGCAGCCACUGAUGAUGAAUCUCUGGCUGGGGAUCAAAUCCCCUGCCUUCAGCCUCUGCAGAUGCGACUUGGCGAAGGCCCGGUCGGAGAUCAGAGACCGCCACCGCUUGCAGACGCAUUUGAAUCGCACCAGCGACUUCGCCGGUAGCCUCAACAGUAUGUCCACGACGAUAUCCUCGGGCAUACUCUCGGCCAUUGUUUCGGCAAAAUGGCAACAGGUGAGAUCUCGGACGAGGUCGAUUGGGUCAGCGAUGGCCGUAGCCGGCUUUCUCGAGAGGUCCCAAGGCCGCCGCCGGACACGGGCGGAGGGGGGACUCGCCGGCGUGGGCAGCGGUCGGGCGGUGGCAAGGCGGAAGAGGACGAGGAGGAGGAGGAGGAGGAGAGAGCUGGCGUGGAAUUUUCAAUUGGGCAUAUUCCCAACUUUCUUGAAUUUUAUGAAACCCUAGAAAUUGCUGCCUUAUUAUAUUAUAUGAAAUGUCGUCUCGUUUUGUGCAUUUCCCAUAAUAUCCUUCGCAAGACAAAGCGUCCCAUCAUGGCAUAGAAGGGCCAUAACGUACAUUCACACUUUCUCUCUCUCGAUCAAUUGAUAUGGACCGACGAGUAAAUAGACAAAAGUUGUGAAUGACACAUUUCGUUGAUCUUGGACACGAAUUAUCAACUACAAGAAAACUAAAGGUCUUAAGAUUUAGAAUUAUGGUUAUCCGCCAUGUAAAGAUACCCGGAAUAUCCAAAUAAAUAGGUUGAUCAAUUUAAACAUUUGGCAUUUUUUGAUUGAUUGGCAGUCAUAUAAAUUGUAAUUCAAGUACUUAUAUGUAUAAUCUAUGGUUUACAAAUAGGUAAGAAGAAACAAUGUUAAUUCUAUGUGUUUCAAUCAAUCCAACAUUCUUUACUCACAUAUCUGGGAUCGUAGUUACCAUCUAUGGGUUAUCCUCAUUUUAUGACAUCCCGAAAUUUCGAAAAAAGAAAUUAUCGGAUGAAAAUCAAAGAUUGGAAGAAAAAGAAAAUGAUAACAAUACUAUUAUUAUCUUCCUUCUCUCUCUCUCCUCUUUCUCCUUUUCUUCACGCAUCCUCCUCCUUCGGCCGAGAUUCCUCUUCCUCCUUUUUCUUUUCUCUCUCUUCUCUCUCUCUUCUCCCUUACGUUUCCCCCUCUUUCUACCGAAAUUUUCAUCCCUCUUUUUCUCCUCUUUCUUCUCUCUUUCUUCUUUUUCUCCCUCUCUCUCCCACUUUUCCACCCCCUCACCGACGCCAACCCUUCUGCUGCAAUUUCCCCCUCAACUUCCCCUCCUUUACUUUAUUAUUUCUCUCCUCUUUUCCCCCUUCCUCCUCUCGACAACUCCCCUCCCUUCUUCUUUUCCUUUUCUCUCCCUUCUCUCUCUCUUCUCCCCCUCACGCAUUCUCCAUUCUACUGUAGCACCCCCAUCUUCUUUCACCUCCAUUUAUUUGCUUUUAUUUUCUCUAAUUUCAUCAUCUACUUGUCUCACCACCAUCACCCUCACUGUUGCACAACAUCCGCCUAAGCCGAGCGCCCUUGGCCUUGAGCUCAGCUUCAACGAACCGUCACCAGAAGUUCUUCAAUCCACAAAUUAAGUUGUCUUCUAAAUUCGGAUUAAGGGUUAAGUACUUACCGACCUUUAGAGGUCGAAUUUCCAAUUGGUUUCUUCACAAAAGUUGUUCAUUACAACUUCUAGUUUAACAUACUCGAAUUUCAAAUCAAACGGACCAGAUUUCGACCCAGAACCGAACUGAUUUCGAUGAGUUAGACUCUCUGGAACUGGACCCGAUUUUAGUGCGGGAUUGAGAAAAAUUCUAGGCCGAAUCCAGACAGAUCUGGAUCUCAGUGUCUUCAUGAAAAAUGUUUUUUUAUGUGUUGUUUAUCACAUGUCCAAGUUUGAGAAUUUUUCGAGCUCAUAUGAAUUGGUUUCUGACUUCGAACUUGAAAGCGCGUAAUUGGACAAUUUUCUGCCAAUUUCUGUUUAGUAGAAGCUUAUGUCUCUUUGAAGUGUUCUUGCUGGAAAUUUGAUGAAUUGAUGUCGUGAAUGAGAAAUGCAAUGGAUUAUUAAAGUGUGACAUUGAAUGAAUAUAACUAUGGCCUAAGGAUUCAUCACGAGCCUUUGGGGCCGGGCGAUACUCCUUCAGGAAUGCCCCAAGUCAACAAAUGCCAGUCGCAGUGGAUGCUGGACCGAUGCUCCUAAAUGUAAGAUGUGUGUAGUUUGUAAAAAUAUAAUCCUAUGUUUGCUAUCUCAUUUAUGUGUUGUUGGGAGAAUAUGAUUUCGCUUCCACAUGCUUGAUAAACAAAUGGGUCGGCAACAGGUUCUGGGAUAUUUAAAAAUUUAUAUCAACCACGGAGAGAUGUGCAUGUGCUCGGAGUCGGGUCGUGACACAUUUCAUCGGCAAUUACCUCCUUUGACGUCACAUAUAAGUUUGUCGGUUUUAUCACUUAUGAUUACUUCUCUAAUUAUUGCAUCUGACUUUCUCUGAUGAAGCAUUCGAUUUUUAUGGAUUGAUUGCAAUUUGCAUAGGCUAUGAAUUCAUCUUUUGACUACGGAUUGCGUUUUUUUACUAGUUAGUUUAAACCACAAUAGGGCACCAUUCCAUUGCUGUGAUGGGUCAUUAUAACUAAAAGUUACUUUUGUUAUCAACAAAAAUGGAGAAUAAAAAAUUAUUGCUGACCGUGAAAAUAUUUUUUAUAUAACUUAUUCUUUUGAGGGGUGAUAAUAAUCUGUAUCUCUAAAAUAUCUUUUGAAUUAUCAAUUUUCGUGAAACAAACCAAGCCCCCAAAAUGUAUCAGAUUUUUACUUAUCUAAAAUUUAGAAUUUAGUUUGAUAGGUACCUUACACGGGCAACCAAGAUUGUUUCGACCAACUGAUCGGUACCCGUUGGUCUUCAUGCAACUUGAAUUUUACCUUUGCAAAGGUCGUCAAAUUAGGAUAUCUUCACAAAAUAAUAUCAUACUUUCCUUUUUGCCUUGAAUAGUGGUCCAUCUAUGGUAUAAUGAUCAUAUUGAUCCAAGUAAAAAGGAUGACAAAAGAGCAAAAUUAUGUUUGAUAUGCAUUGACAAGCUUGACUCUUUAGCAUCCUAGAUUUCUCAGGAUCUACAGUUUUGAAAUUCAGCAUUAUUAAAAUAUCAAAAUCCUGUAGUUGAAUAAGAUCUCAAUAGAUUAUUCUAAUUUGCCACUACAGUGGCCAAAUGCAUGGAAUCAAUGCAACAGACCUCUUAUUCAUACAUUAAAUUUGCCCAUCUUAAUUACGUCUAACGUGUCUCUGAUCAACUAUUGCAGCUAUAACAAGAAGGACUAAUUGUAACAUUCAGUUCAAUGCUGAAUCUUUACAAAUCGAGGGUGAGCUUGAAGCUACUCAGUUAAACCUGAUCACAUCAUUAAGUGUCACUGGCUCAAGAAGUGGCAAAACAUGGGCUAAAUGAAGACAAGAGUGAACAUGAUCUACCAAUAUACAGUCUAAGGGGCAAUUUUCCCUGCUUAAGGUUACCAAAGCAAACAAAUAGUUAAAUAAUGCCGAUUGUAUGUGGAUUCAAUAGUUUAUUUGGUAAUCGAUUAUGGAUUAACAUAGCAUUAUCACCACUUUCUUUAAUUGGAGACUACAUUGCGCUUUAAUGCCAAUAGUAUGUUUUUCAAGUUGUGUAAGUGUAGCACGGCGAGAGGGUCAUUUCUAGAAUCUUGUAUAGUAAUAGUAUAUAGAGUAUUCACAAAGGCUCAAUUCAAAAAAUAGAAGGAAAAAAAGGAAAAGGAAAAAGAGUGAUAAUCAUGUUAGGCAUGAAGAGCCAUCGAGGUUAACUACAGCAGUACAAGAUGGUCCAACUCGGAUUCAGCUGUCACAAAGCUUAAGUGAACUCUAAUUUUACAAUGGCAAUUUGACAUACUCAGGUAAAGCACAAAAUUACAGCUCCUAAAAUAGCUGGCAUUACUAAAACGACAGAGGAGGAAAGUCAGAAUUAUAGCCGGUCCUGAUCCAGGUCAUGCAUUUCCACUGGACAGAAGGAUAGGAGAAGUUUAAGAGCUUUCUACAUGAGAGUUGCCGCAAAGACCUUUUAUUUUACUCCUAAAGAGUAAUGGCAAGUGACUAUGACAGUGUCAUAUGCACCUAGAUUGUUGGUGACAUGCAAGGAGCAGUGUUUGGUGGCAUGCUAGAAUGCCCCUCAAGACCUACAGCGAAAAGGAAAAGUUAAUGUAUUUGUUGUCAUUGUAUUUGCAAUCAUCUUCUGUUCGGUCUUGAUUGAGAUAUUUUAGUCUUCUUUCUCGAUUUGAAGCCUCCCGUUAGUAAUGGGUCCUUGUUUACUUGCAGGAGACAAACCAAACAUUUGCAUUCAAAACCUUAUAUGGUCAACCAAGAUUGUUUCAACCAAUUGAUAAGUACCCACUGGUCAUCAUUAGACCUGUUAAACGGGUGGGUUGGAUCGGGUUUGGGUCUGGUCAUAAAUGGUCCGACCCAAAUCGACUCAUUUAACCCGUUUAUGACCCAUUUAUCGUCGGCGUCAAGCGAGCCCGAGGUCACCCCUCGCCGGAUCUGGCGAGCCUCGAGCCUCGAGCCUCGCCUAACGUCGGCGAGGCCUCUGGCUUGCCCGAUUUGGCGAGCUCGAGGCUCGCCAGCAUCGGGCGAGCUCGAGCCUCGCCAGAUUCGACGAGCAACGAGCUCACCCGAUGCUGGCAAGCUCGAGGCUCGCUUGGCUGGUCACCGACGACCGAAGGAAGAAGAAAGAAAAAAAAAUGAAAGAAAAAAGAGAAAAUAAAAAAAAUUAUAAUUUUGGUUUUUAUAAAAAAAAUAAUUUUAUAAAUUUAAAGAGAGAAGAGAGAGAUUGUGAGGUUUUGAGAGAAAAGCUUUCAUCUUCAACAGGUUGGGGAAUGGGUCUUAAAUGGGUACAAAACAGACCCAUUUAAGACCCACAUAAUUUAGUCCUUUUUUAUUUUUAAAACCCAUUAAUGGGUGCCUUGAGAAAUAAGCCCGACCCAUUAACGACCCCUUUAAGUAAACAUGGGUCCAUAAAUGGGUUGUGGACCAUUUAACACCUCUAGUCAUAAUGCAACUUGUAUUUUACGUUUGAGGAGGUUGUCAGAGUAGGAUAUCUUCACGGAAGAAUAUCGUACUUUCCUUUUGCCUUGAAUAAUGGUCCAUCUGUGGUAUAAUUGAUCAUAUUGAUCCAAGUAAAAAGGACAACAAAAGAGCAAAAUUAUUUUUGGUAUGCAUUGACAGGUUUGACUCUUUAGCAUCCUAGAUUUUUCAGGAUCUGCAGUUUUGAAACUCGACAUUAUUAAGAUCUCCAAAUCCUCUAGUUGAAUAAGAUCUCAAUAGACUGUUCUAAUUUUCUACUGCAGUGGCCAGACACCUAGAAUCAAUGCAAUGGAUCUCUUAUUCUUACACUGAAUUUACUCAUCUUAAUUACAUUUACCGUGUCUCUGAUCAACUAUUGCAGCUACAACAAGAAGGAAUAAUUGUAGCAUUGAGAUAUAUUGACUAAUUGUAGCAUUGAGAUAUAUUUGUCUUAUUUCUUGAUUCAAAGGUUCCUUUUUGUAAUGGGUCCUUGUUUACUCGCAGGGGACAAACCAAGCAUUUGUAUUCACAAUUUUAUAUGUGCAAACAAGAUUGUUUCGACCAACAGGUAAAGUCAUGGAACUUGAAUUUUACCUUUACAGAGGUUGUUGAAUGAGGAUGUAUUCACCAAAAGCAUAUCAUACUUUCUGUUUGCCUUGAAUAGCAGUCCUGUCUAUGGUAUAAUUGAUCAUGCUGAUCCAAGUAAAGAGGACCAUAAAAGAACAAAAUUCUGUUUGAUAUGCAUUGACUGAUUGACUCUUUAGCAACUCAGGAUCUGAAGUUCUGAAUUCAGCAUUAUCAAGAUUUUAAAAUUCUCUAGCUGAAUAAGCUCUGGGAACCUAUCGAUAUGAUUCGUUGUAGUUGAUUAAGAAAACUGGGGGGAGGACAACCAAGUCAAUAGACUGUUCUAAUUUACUGCAGUAGUGGCAUCCACAAUUCUUCUAAGAGGGUUUAUCGCUUGACGCACAUAAUCAAGGCAAUGUAUAUUUACUGUCUCCGAGCAUCAGUAAACCACCCCUCCCCCCCUUUCUUCUCUUCCCUUGCCUUGAAGAAGCGACACCUUGUUUCCCUUCUUGACAUGCUAUCGCAGCUACAACGACACGGACUAAUUGUAGCAUCUCUGUGCUGAAUCUAUAUAAAUCGAGAGUGAGUUUAAAGUUAGUCAAACCUUUCUACAUCAUGCAGUGUCAUUGGCUCAGGAAGUGGCAAAAGGAUUGGUUAUAUGAAGAAGACAAGAGUGAGAGAGAUUGAGAGGGGGGGGGGGGGGGGGGGGGGGGGAAAAAAGNNNNNNNNNNNNNNNNNNNNNNNNNNNNNNNNNNNNNNNNNNNNNNNNNNNNNNNNNNNNNNNNNNNNNNNNNNNNNNNNNNNNNNNNNNNNNNNNNNNNNNNNNNNNNNNNNNNNNNNNNNNNNNNNNNNNNNNNNNNNNNNNNNNNNNNNNNNNNNNNNNNNNNNNNNNNNNNNNNNNNNNNNNNNNNNNNNNNNNNNNNNNNNNNNNNNNNNNNNNNNNNNNNNNNNNNNNNNNNNNNNNNNNNNNNNNNNNNNNNNNNNNNNNNNNNNNNNNNNNNNNNNNNNNNNNNNNNNNNNNNNNNNNNNNNNNNNNNNNNNNNNNNNNNNNNNNNNNNNNNNNNNNNNNNNNNNNNNNNNNNNNNNNNNNNNNNNNUACGUCAUAUUGUGAUCUCACGACAAUUUAUAGCUGUAUAAGCAUAAUAACUUCACAGAUUAUAAACUAUCGUUCCUUAAACUGAAAUUAUGCGAAUGUGUGGGAUUCGUGAUGUUAAGCAUUGUGACUUGAGGGCAUGACCUUUGUCUUAAGAGAUUGAAAAGUAUAUUAACAAUAACUUUACGUGAUGAGUUUCAUAAUUUCCACUUAGACAGAAUCCUUAUCUGAAACCGCAUCAGCUGAAUUUCUACAUGGGAUACUUGUUCUCAGAUACAUCACUUUGUGAUACGAAGUAAGAUAAUUGACCUGGUUUUCUUGAUUAGGUGCCAAUAGGUACUACUACAUAUGCAUGAAUGACUCACUUGCACUUGGCGGUGGAGGCAACUUUGCCCUGUCCUUAGAUGGAGAUCUGUAAGUUGUCGUGUUUACAAAUUUCCAUUUUUCCAAUAAAGGAGAGGUCCAUUUUUAGUCAUCUCUUUUGUAUCUUGUUAUGAAAAGGUUAAGUGGAACAAGUGGACCCUGCGAAACAUUUGGAAGCUUAUGUUUGGCUCACAACCCAGAGUUCGAGUUGAAGAAUGCUGAGGUAACAAGCUAAAAUGUCCAAGCUUGCCUUCAAUUGCAAUCACUUGAUGUUGUGAGGAUAGACUUCAUCAGAUGAAGCGUUUGAAUUGAUGCACGACUUGCAAUUUGCAUAGGCCUUAAAUACAUCUUUUAACUUGAUUUUUUUCUGACAAAUUAGUUUUGUCUAAGGAGGUUGAUGACCUUGAUGUACAAAGGUGCAUGAAUAAUCUGUGUGGGAAAAGAGAAGUCAAUUAGAUUGGCUAUCUCCAUGGAGCUGAAGGUGCUAAGAAUUAUUGUCUUGCUUGCUUUAGGUUUGACAUUUUAUGUGGAUCUUACCGCCUUGGAGAAUAAGGCUUUAACUAAAUUGCAUGUUUCGUUGCUAAUGUUCACUUGUCAUCUAUAUCUGUGAAGAUUAGCCUCCACAUUUCGUAUUAGCAAUCCCAUUGUCUCGUUUGUGGUGCAGUUAUGGGGCUUCACUCACUCAUCAUCCCAUACUACAAGACCUGAAGUUGCAACAAGGCCUGCUCGCGCCGCUCUCCUCUGAAGUUCAUUCUUUAUUGUUUCAAUUUUGCCUUAAUAUAUCCAUAUCUAUCCUCAGAAUUCUGUAGCCAGAUAGGUCUAUUUAUAUUACUUGUUGAGGCACCCUUCCAGGUAUGUGAUGGGGCCAAACGGCUGAUUGUGCCGGUUACUUGAGACUUGUUCCUGUUUAAACUCAUUUCAACUUCAAAUGAAGCUUGCUUUCUAAGAGUGAGGAAUUCUUGUUGGUGUGCGCGGUCAUUUCUGUAAUCUGUUUUCUUCAAUGUGUGGAUUAAUAGAGAAGAGAAGAUUCGAUGGCAUGCAGAGUAAUAUACCUGAGUGGUUCUUGUUUGCCCAGAGGGAAUUUUAUUUAGAAUUAGCAAUCUGUUCAUAAAGUCAAAUCACAAAAGAACAAGAGAUCCCUAAUUACAACAGGGUAUGUAGAGGAGUAUCUAACUCCAGAAACAGAAGCAGGCAUUCAAGGUUAAACCAAUGGGAUGAAAAACUAUUACGAUAAAUGUACACAGUUCUAUGAACAUUGCAGCGAAAGAGUUUCAUCUAGGCUAAACCUUUCGCAAUAUUUCUCAUCACAGCGGGAUUUUGCCAUCACCAUCCCUUUGAAUAGAUAACUCGCAUCUUGGUACGUGGAUUCAAUAGUUUAUUUGGUAAUUAGGGAAUAACAUUAUCGCAAGUUUCUUUAACUGGAGACUACAUUGUGCUUUGAUCCCGAAGGUAUGUUUAUCAAGCUGUGCGUGCAAAUGCAGCCCAAUGAGAGGAUGGGUCAUUCCCGAAAUCUUGCACAGCAAUAGUACAAAGAGUACUCAAGAAGGCAAAAUUCAAAAAGAGUCGCCGAUCUUGACUAUAGUAUUACAAGAUAGUUCAUCCUCGAAUUCAGUUGCACGAGUAUCCACAUUCCAGUCAAGCACAUUAAAACUCAAACUCUACUUACCGUCUCUCAUUAUUCUAGCAAACCAAAGAUGAUUGAAUGGCCAUUCAUUGAGCAGACAUCUAACCCUACAUCUGGACAGAGUACUAAAAGCACGAUAAACUUACUAAAGAAUAGACUUUCGACACUAUUUUUUUCUUCAAAAUCCACAAGAUCAUUCAACAGCUCCACCACCAAGGUAGGGAGAAACGAGAGUUUCCAAAUAGAUGGCAUAUUCGGUAACAAAGUCCGUCCCUAAGAGAUGAUCUUGGCAAGUAUUAUACUCUGGAUUAAACAGAAUCAUCCACUUCCUAUCCAUCAAAAAAACAAUUUUUCCACUCCUUGUGUACGCAAGGGGGAUCUUCUUGAAGGGCGUAUUCCAAUUUAUGAAGGCUUCGGAAUCAAUACUGAACCAUUUUUCCCACCGUGCUCCUAUCCCGUACUCAUCUGUCAUCCAUGCCUCAAUGCGGGGAUUUUGGGCAGUAUUGUAUAUGAACAGAUUCGCCCCAUGAAUCUCGAGUCCCAAGAGUAGUAUGUCCUCAUCGAUUGGAGGGACUGGAAGCACCUGGUGAAAUUUCUCUUCCGACAAGUCAAAUGACAUAAUUGCAGAAAAGCCCUCCUCAUUCGUGUUCCAGACAUAGACGUGCCAGUGUAAGGCCCCUUUCCAAUAAAGGGCUGGGCCGCAACAUUCGACUCCCUCUUCCUGGAACGGAACUUCUAUCAUCAUCAUCGUCCAGGAACAGGAUUUGAGCGAAAAUAUUGCCACCUUCCCAUUUUCAACUUCAACAACAUCCCCUACUACUAGGGCUAUUUUGUAGUCAUCAGAUUGAGAGUCAUAUCCGAAUCCGUAGAAUGAAUUAUUUCUGGCUCCACUGAAUAAUGUAGCUUGAUCAACAAAAUCGGAACCGGGCAACUCGAUAUACUCCCUGGUGGUCGGGUUAUAUAUGACAAAAUUGCUGGGGCCAAUUAAACAUAACAGGCCAUCGCAGGACCCCACGAUGCGGGACUCCCGCAAAGGUUUGAUCCCAUGAGGUACCACCACGCGACCCUCGCCGCCGCCGUCGAGCGCUUCGUAGUCCACGGUCUUGAGGGGGCCGAUGCCGCCACCGAUGAUGAUUCUCUGGCUAGGGAUCAAAUCCCCUGCCUUCAGCCUCUGCAGAUGCCACUUGGCAAAGGCCCGGUCGGAGAUCAGAGACCGCCAUCGCUUGCAGACGCAUUUGAAUCGCACCAGCGACUUCGCCGGUAGCCUCAAGAGUAUGUCGACGACGACAUCCUCAGGUAUACUUUCAGCCAUUGUUUGGGCAAAACAGAAACAGGAGAGAUCUCGGACGCGGUCGAUUGGGUCGGCGAUGGCCCGUAGCCGGCUUUCUCGAGAGGUCCCAAGGCCACCGCCUGACACGGGUGGACUCGCCGGCGUGGGCGGCGGUCGCGCGGUGGAGCCCGGCAGCUGGGCGGAGGCAAGGCGGAGGAGGAGGAGGAGAGAGCUGGCGUGGAAUUUUCAAUUGGGCAUAUUCCCAACUUUCCUGAAUUUUAUGAAACCCUAGAAAUUGCUGCCUUCUUAUGUUAUAUAAUAUGUUGUCUCGUUUUGUGCAUUUCCCAUAAUAUCCUUCGCAAGACAAAGCGUCCCAUCAUGGCAUAGAAGGGCCAUAACGUACAUUCACACUUUAUUUCUCUCUCCAUAUGGAUCGACAAAAGUUUAGUGGCGACAUGCACGGAUCAGUGUUUGGUGGCAUGCUAGAAUGUCCCUUAACACCUACAUCAAAAAGGAAAUAUGAGAUGAUCCGUAAUAUUCUUGAUUUUGUUGUCAUUAUAUUUGCAAUCAUCUCAAUCUUGAUUGAGAUAUUUUAGUCUUCUUUCUUGAUUUGAAACCUCCUUCUUUACUCACAGGGGGACAAACCAAACAUUCGUAUUCGCAACCUGAUAUGAGCAACCAAGAUUGUUUCGACCAACUGACAAGUACUUUUAGUCAUCACACGACUUAAGUUUAGCCACUGCAGAGGAUGUUUAACAAGGAUAUCUUCAAGAAAAAAUAUCAUACUAUCCUUUUGUUUUGAAUAUUGGUCAUGUCUAUGGUCUAAUUGAUCAUUCUAAUUCAAGUAAAAAGGAGGACAAAAGAACAAAAAUAUACCUGAGUGGUUCUUGUUUGCCCAAAGGGAAUUUUACUUAGAAUUAGCACUAUGUUCAUAAAGUCAAAUCACAAAAGAACAAGAUAUCCUCAAUUACAACAGGGUACGUAGAGAAGUAUCUAACUCGAGAAACAGAAGCAGACAUUCAAGGUUAAACCAAUGGGAUGAAAAACUAUUACGAUGAAUGUACACAGUUCUAUAAACAUUGCAAUGAAAGAGUUUCAUAUAGGCUAUGAAGAAGUUCAAACUCUUUUGAGUUUAUGUAGGUCUGCAACAGUGGGUUUCUGUAAUUUCUGACACAGCUGAUUUGUGGCAUAUGCAAUGUCAGGUCUUGUUAAAGUCAGAUACUGAAGGCCACCUACUAAGCUUCGGUACUCGACAGGAUUGGCAAGUGGAGCAGAAUCAUUUAUCAGAACAGUCGGUUUUAGUGAUAUAGGAGUAGUAAUUGGUUUGCACUCAAGCAUAUGAGCUCGAGUAAGAAGAUCUCUGGCAUAUUUUGUCUGACAAAGAAAUAGGUAAUCAGAAGUAUUCUUGACUUCAAUGCCAAGAAAGUAAUGUAAUGGGCCAAGAUCUUUCAUAUAGAACUGAAGACUUAGAGGAUGGAUGAGGUUGGAAGGAACUGAGAGGAGCUUCCAGUCAUGAUAAUGUCAUCAACAUAUAGUAGUAGAAGGAUGGUGUAUGUAUCUUUAUGAUAGAUGAACAAUGAUGGGUCAGUUGAGCUGCAAAAGAACCCAUAUUCAAGUAGAAAGUUACUGAACUUGUCAAACCAGGUUCGAGGAGCUUGUCGAAGUCCAUAGAGAGACUUCCUAAGUAGACAUACAUAAUGAGGAUUGUUGGGAUCUUGAAAGCCAAGAGGCUGCUCCAUGUAAACUAUCUCAUUCAAUGUACCAUGUAAGAAUGCAUUUUUGACAUCUAAUUGAUGAAUUGGCCAGUGUUUCAUCAUGGCUACAGAUAGAACUAUACGAAUUGUAGCAUGUUUGACAACUAGACUAAAUGUUUCUGUAAAGUCAAUGCCCUCUUCUUGAUGAAAUCCUUUAGCAACCAGUCAAGCCUUAAGUCUAUCAAGGCUACCAUCAGCUGCAAGCUUUGUUUUAAAUACCCACUUAUAGCCAAUGACAUUCAUUUGAUCAGUUCGAGGAAUUAAUUCCCAAGUUUUGUUCUAAUAAAGUGCAUCCAUCUCUUUUGUCAUUGCUUUAUACCAGCCUUUAUGUGCUAAGGCUGAUUUGAUUGUUCUUGGUUCAAUAGGUACUUCAUAUAUAGCAAGACAUGCAUACCGAGGAUUGGUCUUGAUGAUGCCAGAUUUAGACCUAGUCUACAUAGGGUGAGUAGGUAAUGUACCUUGUGAAUCUAUCUGAUUAUUUGAAGUGUGUAGUUCCAUAGCUAGUUCAUCUGUUGUUUCAGUUAUGGGAACAGGUACUUCAACUUGUUGUGGACAAUCCUGAGUAGUGGUGGAUACUUGAUCUAUAGGAAAUUCAACUGGAGAGACAGAAACUGCUUGUUCUGUGCAUUCAGGUGAGAUCACCCCAUUUGUUUGCUUAGCUGUGGCUUCUUGUUCCCAAUCUGUAUACUAAGAAGUUGAAUGUUUUAUGUGAUUUGUAGUGGAGGAAGCUAGGAACUGUUCUUCUUCUGUCCACAGUUUAUACAAGUGUGUGUAGGAAGGAUAAACUCUUGCUAACUUCUGAGAGAAUGGGAAGAAAUUCUCAUCAAAUACUACAUGUCGACUAAUGUAGACAUGACCAGUAGUAGGGAGAAGGCAUCGAUAUCCCUUAUAGUGAUCACUGUAUCCAAGAAAGACACAGGUUAGUGAACGUGGAUCAAGCUUAUUCUGUGCAUAUGGUCGAAGACAGGGAUAGCAAGCAUAGCCAAAGGUUCUAAGAUGGUCAUAUCUUGGUUUCUGCUGAUAUAAUUUGCUGAAGGGAGACUGCAUCUGUAAUUUUUGAGUAGGAAGAAUGUUAACAAUACAGUUGGCUGUUACAAAUGCAUCUACCCAAAAUUUUAAUGGAAUUUUUGCAUGGUAUAGCAUAGCCAGACCAAGCUCAACUAUAUGUCAAUGCUUCCUUUCAGGUAUCCCAUUCUGCUCAGGUGUAUAUGGACAUGACAUAUGCUGUUGAAUGCCACAGUUCUAUAAGUGAGUUUUGAAUUUUUGGCUAAUAAACUCUCCUCCACCAUCACACUGGAAGGUCUUGAUUUUACAGUUAUGCUGAUUUUCGACUAACUUUUGAAACAUGAGAAAAACACCAUAGAAAUUUGACUUCAGCUUUAAUGGGUAUAUCCAACUAAACCGAGAGAAAUUGUCAACAAAAAUGACAUAAUACUUGAAACUCUGAAAAGACUUAACUGGAGAACGUCCCCAUAUAUCACAGUGAAUUUGUUCUAGAGGCUUUGUAGCUGUAGAAUUUGACAAUGGAAAAGGUAGAGCUGUACUCUUAGCUAUUUGGCAACUUCUAAAUACAGACUGUGAUUCUUUGUUAUACUGAAUCAGUUUUUGAUUCCUCAACUGCUUCAAGAUAUUAUGAUUUGUAUGAGCCAGUCGUUGAUGCCAGAUACUCUUUGCAACAAUUCUUUGUCUUUGUGUGAAAUAGACUUCUACAGCAUGAGGGUCUACUCUGUACAACCCUCUAACCUUCCUUCCUAGCUUCAUGGUUGUGUUGGUGAUGCUGUCCUUGAUGUACACACCAGUUUUGUCAAAAAUAAAGGAACAUGGGUAAUCAUCAGUGAAUUUUGACACUGAUAGAAGGUUUUUCUUAAUCUCAGGAACAAUCAACACAUCAUUUAGAGGCAAGGCAUUAAUUGCAGUAUUCAAUAUUGCAUUACCAAUGUAUUUGACAGGUAAACACAGACCAUUGCCUAUCAUGACUGUAUCAGCAUUGUUAUUUUUAGAAAGACUAUGGAGUAUGCCAGCAUUAAAGGUAAUAUGGGCUAUAGCUCCAGUGUCUGGAUACCAGUCUUGAUCAUUUGCCUCCUCGAUAUGUAGUGCUGCUAGUGCUAUUGGUAUCUCCUCAGCUUGAUAGGAGUUAUCAAACCGAUAACAACAAUGUAAGGCAUCGUGACCAGGCCUCUUACAGGUUUGACACUCAAGUCGAGUGUGUUAUGCUGGUUUCUCCAUUUGUACCUUUUUGUGAGGAGUUGAAUUUGAUGCAGGAUAUGACCUGAUAUCAUAAUACCUUUGUGCUGAUACAUUGUAUGGUCUAAAACCUUGAACAGUACCCAAGCUAGAGGAGGUAUUAAAUUGUUUGAACUGCUGAUUUUCUUGUUCAUAGUUUGAGUUAUUAUUUUUGUAACCCAUGUUUCUUCUAGGAUAACCAAAGUUUAUGUAUCUGGCAUUAUAUGUCCUUCCUCUUCCAUAAUUUCUUCCUCCACGAUUAUUUAUUCUUGAUCCUCUAGGAAUAGUAUCCUGUUGUAUAUAUUAUUUGUCAGCCUCUUCUUUAUGUAUAGCUUCAGUUUUCCUCUGGCCAUAGUAGGCUAGGUUAGGACUAAACUGGUUUAAAGAAUAAUUCUGUAGCCUGGCUUCGAAUCUUUCUAAGUGUGAGAUUACUUCAUCAUAUUCUGGUUGGGGCUUCAAGCAAUAGAUUGUAGUUUUAAAACUUUCAUACUCAGAUCCCAGACCUUCCAGAACUCCAAAUAGUUUUGUGAUUUCAUCAACUGGUUUUGCUAUGGCAUUCAACUGAUCACAUAUUGACUUGUACUCCCUGAGGUAUGCUGAUAAUGUUUGCUCACGUUUCUGGCAAGCCUGCAGUUUUCCACUUAACUCGAACUCCUUAGCUACUGAUUUUUGUGUUAACCGAUUUAACAGAGUUUGCCAAACUUCAUAAGUAGUGUUUAAACCAAUUAUCAGGCUAAGUAUAUUUUCUGACACUGCACCACUAAUCCAAGAAGAAACAAGCUGAUCUGUUUUUAUCCAGUCAUUAUAAUCAGGAUUAGGAAUCUCAUAAGUUUGACCUCCUUCUUCGAUCUGUAAUGUCUUUGCAGGUGGUGAAAUUUCCCCAUUCACAAAACCAAACAAAUCUUGGCUCCUCAAGAAUCUAUAGAACUGAGCUUGCCAUAGGAGGAAAUUAUCCUCAGCUAAUUUGAUGGUGACAAAAUUCGAGAUAUUAACAUGAAUAGGAAACGGAUAUCUCAUGCUGCCAUUUUAUUCUUUUUGAUCUCUGAUCGACUCUAGUUGCAGACACAAGUUCUACUGAUUUGCAGUAUGCUGCUACAAGUAUAUUGAUGAUGAAGAUUUAGAUGUGAAUGAACAAUUACCAACUCACAGAUCUUGUUGGAAGAUAUAGAUAUCUUCAGAGAUCAAAAGAAGCUUCGAAUCUACCUUCGAUCUGGUGUAGAUCUAACUAUUCUGUGCAGCAUCAAGAUGAUUUCUUCAGGAUGCAGAUGCUCUGAUACCAUGAAGAAGUUCGUGCAAAAAGGAACUUGAGAUGAAGAAUCAAUAGAGAGAAUUUGCAAUGAAAGUCUUCUUUCUUUUAUCUAUCAUUUCAUCAUAUCUACAAUCAAACGAGAAAUAGCCUUUUAUACACAAGGACUAUCUCCUGAAUCUGUUUUACAGGUAUUGAAUCAGUUGAAGAAAUAUAACUAACUAACUGAAGCAAGAAACUAACUUCCAAAGCUAAAGUAUACUAGACUAACUACCGAGACUGGUCAAGACUUGCAACACUUAUACAGAGUUUCGAAACAGGUUCUCUUUUCCUUCUUCUUAUCAGCAUAUCUUUUCAGCUGCAUGUACAUUCUUUACUUCCUCUGCUUCAUAUGUUUUCUCUCCAUUGCUCUUGUAUAUCUUGCUUCCCCUGUUCUUGCUUCCCAUGUUCUUACUGGCAUCAGUAAUAGCAUCAGUGAGGGAGCUUCUGUUCUUGUUGUUCUUAACAGGCUAAACCUUUUGCACCAUUUCACAUCAUGCGGGAUUUUGCCAUCACCAUCCCUUUGAAUAGAUAACUCACAUCUUGGUACGUGGAUUCAAUAGUUUAUUUGGUAAUUAGGGAAUAACAUCAUCACCAAUUUCUAUAACUGGAGACUACAUUGUGCUUUGAUCCCAACGUUAUGUCUAUCAAGCUGUGCGCGCAAAUGCAGCCCAAUCAGAGGAUGGGUCAUUCCCGAAAUCUUGCACAGCAAUAGUACAGAGAGUACUCAACAAGGCAAAAUUCAAAAAGAGUCACUGAUGCUGACUAUAGUAUUACAAGAUAGUUCAUUCUCGAAUUCAGUUGGCACAAAGCUUAGCGCACGAGUAUCCACAUUCCGGUCAAGCACAAUAAAACUCAAACUCUACUUUCCGUCUCUCAUCAUUCUAGCAAAACAAAGAUGAUCGAAUGACCAUUCAUCGAGCAGACAUCUGACCCUACAUCUGGACAGAAUACUAAAAGCACGAUAAACUUACUAAAGACGCUCUAUGUUUUUUCUUCAAAAUCCACCAGAUCAUUCAACAGCUCCACCGCCAAGGUAGGGAGAAAUAAGAGUUUCCAAAUAGAUGGCAUAUUCGGUAACACCGGCCAUCCCUAAGUGAUAAUCCUUGUAAGUAUUAUCCUCCAGAUUAAACAGAAUCAUCUGCCUCUUUUCCAUCAAAAAAACAAAUUUUCCACUCCUUGUGUACGCAAGGGGGAUCAUCCCAGAGAAGGUAUUACAAUUUAUGAAGGCACUGCAAUCAAUAUUGAACCAUUUUGCGCACGGUGCUCCUAUCCCGUACUCAUCUGUUAUCCAUGCCUCAAUGCGGAGAUCAUGGGCACCGUUGUAUAUGAACAGAUUCGCCCCGUGAAUCUCAAGUCCCAGGAGUCGUGUGUCCUCAUCGACUUCAGGGACUGGAAGCACCCGGUGAAAUUUCUCUUCCGACAAGUCAAAUGACAUAAUCGCAGAUUCGCCCGCAUCAUAUACGUGCCCAUAGAAGUGCCCAUAGACGUGCCGAUAGACGUGCCAGUGUAAGGCCCCUUUCCAAUAAACUCCUUGGCCGCACAAAUCGAGUUCCUCGUCUUGGAACGGAACUUCUAUCAUCCUCCAGGAACAGGAUUUGAGCGAAAAUAUUGCCACCUUCCCAUUUUCAACUUCAACAACAUCCCCUACUACUAGAGCUGGCGUGGAAUUUUCAAUUGGGCAUAUUCCAACUUUCCUGAAUUUUAUGAAACUCUUGAAAUUGGUACCUUCUUAUAUUAUAAUAUCCUUCGCAGAACAAAGUAUCCCAUCAUGGCAUGGAAGGGCCAUAACGUACAUUCACACUUUAUCUCUCUCUCCCCCCAUAAAGAUCAAAGAGUAAAUCGACAGAAGUUGUGAAUUACACAUUUCGUGGAUCUUGGACAGAAAAUAUAAACUAUAAGAAAAUUAAAGGUCUUAAGAUUGAGAAUAAUCGUCACCGGCCAUGUAAAGAUACCUGUAAUAUCCAAAUAAAUAGGUUGAUAAAUUUAAAUAUUUGGCAUUUUUUGAUUGAUCGAUAGUCAUAUAAAUUAAAAUUCAAGUAUUUAUAUAUAUAAUCUACAGUUAAUAAACGUGUAAGAAGAACGAUACCAGUUGUAUGUGCUUUAGUCAAUCUAACAUUCCUUUCUCACAUAUGUGGGAUUGUAGAUUCUACCAUCUAUGGGUUAUACUCCUUUCACCGACGAUUACCUCUUUUGACAUUACACUUAAAUCUGUCGAUUUUAUCACUUGAUGAUUACUUCUCUAAGAAUUGCAUCUUGGUCGAUUGUUUAUCAUGUUCUCUCUUCCCAAGUCAUUUUUUUUUCACUACCUAAUGAUCUUGUCGAGAUCGUCUUGUGAAACAUUUGGGAACUUGUGUUUGGCUCACAACCGGGAGUUCGAGUUGAAGAUCACUAGAUGUUGUCAAGAGUGACUCCCUCAAAUGAAGCACUCAAUUUUUAUACAUGGAUUGCAAUUUGCGUAGGCCAUGAAUUCAUCUUUCGACUACCAAUUGUGUUUUUCAACUAGUUAGUUUUAACCACAAAGGGGCACCAUUCCAUUGUGAUGGGGCCUUGUAACCGAAAGUUAUUUCCAUUAUCAACAAAAUGAUGAAGCAUAAAUUGUUACUAAUCGUGAAAACAUUUUUUUAUUUAACUUAUUCUUUUGAGCGGUGAUAAUGAUCCGAAACUCUAAAAUAUCUUUUGAAUUAUUGAUAUCCCGCAAAACAAAAAGAUAUUAGAUUUUUAAUUACAUCUACGAAGAGAUUAUAGCGAUGCUUAUGAAAUUCAUUUGCGAACAGUUGAACAAAAUAAAUGAACUACAGAUUAGGUUUCUAUCAUGUCCAUAAACGAUAACGUAAGGAAGCCAUGCACAAACACCAUAUAGAAAUGUUUGCUCGAUUCACAUCUUCGAUUUGCCAAACUACAUCUCAAUAGAUGGAUGCAGAACAAUUCGACGACCCACCGGAAGAUCCUUCUCCCCUUCAACCCUCCGAGAUCGGUCGCCUUGGAGAAAGUCAUUCGCAGCAUUGACGACGCCGCAACCACUGUGCUCCAUCAUCCACUCAAACUUUCGAGGUUCGAGGCUCGAGCUCCGAAUUUAUGUCGCUCGAACCCUGAAUCGUUAGCGUUACGGAAUGCGACUACCAGGGAGUCCUGCAAAAUCCCAAACCCAAAUGCGAAUCUUCUGCUUUUUGUCGACUUAUGGUUAAAAGAUUUGCGAAGCCUACUUUUACAGUUCUCUUGUUAGAAACGAGUCUCUCUCGAAUCACUAGAUAAGGUUGCCGUGUGCUUGCUUUAACAUUCACAUGAGUUAGUCGAAUGUUCACCACAUAACGAGACCCAGUAAAUUGUUGGUGAAGUUACACGAAAUCGGAUCGGGCAACAUUAGCAAAACAAAGAUGAUUGAGUGGCCGUUCAUCGAGCAGAGAUCCAACCCUAAAUCUGGAGAGGAUAGAGUACUGAAAGCAUAAGGAAGUUACUAAAGAAUGACCAGAUCUUAUAAUCGACUAUCAAGACUCUUUGUUUAUUUGUCAAAUUCCAUAAGGUCGUUCGACAUCUCAAGAUGGCCACUCAUUGCCAAGAUAGGGAGAAACAAGAGUUUAUCGGAUAAUUCUUUUAAGUAUCACCCUUAGGAUUGAACAGAAUAACCCGGUCCACAUCCAUCAAAGAAACCAUUUUUCCACUCCUUGUUUACGCGAGGAGGGAAUGCCAAGAGGCAGCUAUGCAAUCAAACCUGAACUAUUUUGUCCACGACCCGCCACACUCAUACCUUAUCCAUGCCUCGAUGCGGCAGUCACGACCAUGGCGGUCACAGGUGCUACCAUAUAUGAACAGACUAGCCUGUGAAUCACAAGUCCCAUGAAAACUAUGUCCCUGACUUCAGGGACCGAAAGCUUCCGAUGGAAUUUCUCUUCCGACAAAUCAAAGAACAUAAUCUCGGUCCUAUGAUUUAGGCUUUUGGUCAAAUGACAUACCAGCGUAAGGCCUCGUUCCAAUAAACUCCUUCACUAGAAACCUCGAGGUGGCUUUCUUCAUCAAACUGGACUUGUAUCCUUCUCCAAGAUUCGGACUUGAGAGAAAAUAUUGCCACCUCCCAAAUUUCACGGAGGCCCUCUACUAUUUUGUAGUCAUCAGACCGAGAGUCAUAUCUAAAUCCAUAGAAUAACCAUUUUGUCGAUAUAAAUCGGAAACGGGCAACUCUCUAUACUCCCUGGUGGUUGGGUUAUAUAUGACCAAAUUACAACAAGGUGCUUAGAGGAGUAUCUGACUCCAAGAAUAGAACCGAUGUUCAAGGUAAGACCGAUGGGGUGAAAAACUAUUACAAUGAAUGUAAACUGUUCUAUAAACAUGGCGAUGAAACAGUUUCAUCUAGGCUUAACCUUUCACACCGAUUCACAUCAUGCAGGAUAUUGCCAUCACCAACCCUUUGAUUAGAUAGCUUGCGUCUUGGUACGUGAAUUCAAUAGUUUAUUCCGUAAUUGAUUAGAGAAUAGUAUUAUCACUAUUUUCUAAGAAUGGAGAUUACACUUCGCAUUGAUACCAAUAGUAUGUUUAUCAAGCUGUGCGAAUGCAGCUCAAUGAGAGGAUGGGUCAUUUUCGAAAUCCUGUACAACAAUAGUAUACAAAGUGCUCAAUAAGACAAAAUUCGAAAAGAGAAUGGAAAAGGAAAAAAAAAAAAUAACAACAAAGGAGUGAUAAUCAUGUUAGACAUGAAAAGCCACUGAUGUUAACUACAGAAUUACAAGAUGGUUCAUCCUCGGAUUCAGUUGGCACAUAGCUUAAGUACGAGAGAAUCCAUACUCCAGUGAAGCAAAUUGAAACUCAAACUCUACUUGUUAUCUCUUCUAGCAAAACAAAGAUGAUUGAAUGGCAAUUCGUCAAGCAGACAUCUAACCCUACAUCUAACCCUACAUAUGAAGCGGACAGAGUGCUAAUAACACAAUUAAGUUGAUAAAGGACAGACUUUCAAUGCUCUCUGUUUCUUCUUCAAAAUCCACAAGAUCAUUCAACAGCUCCACCGACCUUUUUUUGGGGGAGUUUGCGUCAGAAAAAGUGCCGGUUCACUUAUACUUUUAAAGUAUGUUCUAAAAUAUAAAUUAAGCCUUUAAUUUCUAAUGAAAGAACUAUUAAAACUGGUGUAGGAAUAAAAUAGCACAAUAAUACAAAGCUUACAAGAAAGGAAAUAAAUAUCAUAAAAUUCCUUCUAGGUCUAGUGCUAAGAGUCUAAAAAAUAAAAGGAUUAUCUGGACUACUAUUUCGUGUAUUAUGAGCUCUUCUAGAAAUACGAGUACGUCCUCCAUGUAAGCAAUAUUGAUGUCUGGCUACAAACUUAGUAUUAAAAUGUUAUAGACUAAUCUGGAUAUUACCUAAAAAUUCUGGGUAAUUAACUUGGGCUAGUGUGAAAGAAUUAAAACUAUAUGUGAGCUCUUCUAUUAGUUCUGCUGCUACUAUGCAAUGAAUGUAAAGAGGACAGUGAGAUGUCAUGCAAGAGCGGGUGCUUAUGGGAGUUAAUUUAAUGAGACUUAAUCCUGCUCGGUACUAGGCUCAUCUUCAUUUUUAAGCUAAGUUUCCACCAAAUCAAAGACCUAUACCCUUAUGUUCUUAUAUCCAACCUAUCUUCCAGGUUAUAAUGGAUCAGCGCUUCCGUUCCUGCAGGCUGCCUACUGUGACAAGGGUAUCCCACACCCUAUCUUCCUCCUAUCUUUGCCUACGGUCAGAACGGGUACUUUCUUCCGCCUCCUGCGUACUUAUUUCCCCUUCGAGGACCUCUGGGCUAACUUUGGAAUAACUUUGGGUGUUUCAAAAUCCUACCUAUUAUCAGACGGGUUGAUAAUAGUUUCAUGCAGGAAUGAAAUGCUGAGCAUGAUAACAUGGAAGAAAAUUUGGAUAUAGAACAAGCCUAUAUAGGCUUUAAGUAAUUGGAAACGUACAUUGGAAGAUAGCCGUUCCCUUUCGGGAAGGCCUCGACUAAGCAAAGAAACUUUUGCAAGAACUCGGAGACCUCGGGCUGAACUUCUUCUUUAUUGCGAAAAGGAAAAUUUACAGGAUGGGAGUGAUUACAAGGGCGGUUUGCGGAAGAUCACAGCUUAAGGAUGCUUGUGAGCUUCUGAAAACCGGUGCCUACAACUAAUGCCGGAGUAUGGCUUAUAUAGCCAUCUCAAAAGAAUAAAGAUUACAUAAUUUUCUUGCGGGAGAAGAAAAGAAGAAUAUCCUUUUUUACCAAAAAAAAAAGUUCCUACUGGAUUCUGCUUAGGUGUCCAGGUUAUGCUCCGCGAUAGUGUCUAAAGACGCUGGCGUGGCUGGACUAUCGUGUUCUCUGUCUUCACGCUCUAAAGUAUUUCCACUAACACUUUCUUCACUGGAAAGAUGAGUGUCGUGAAAUCUCCGGUCCUGUGCUAUGGCCUCUUGCAUUAAAGCUUCUUUAACCAAGUCUCCCAUCAACUCUUUAAGCUGUUUCUUCCGGUGGAAAUUCUCUUCCCACAAAUCAAAUGACAUAAUCUCGGUCCUAUGAUUUAGGCUUUGGUCAAAGACGCACCAGUGUAAGGCCACGUUCCAAUAAACUCCUUCGCCAGAAACCUCGAGGCGGCUUUCAUCUAACUGGACUUGUAUCCUUCUCCAAGAUCCGGACAUGAGAGAAAAUAUUUCCACCUCCCAAUUUUCAUGGAGGCCCUCUACUAUUUUGUAGUCGUUAGAGCGAGAGUCAUAUCCAAAUCUAUAGAGUAACCCAUUUUGUCGAUAUAAAUCGGAAACAGGCAACUCUCUAUACUCCCCGGUGGGCAGGUUAUAUUUGACAAAAUUACAGCAAGUUGCUUAGAUGAGUAAAUGACUCCAAAAAUAGAACCGAUGCUCAAGGUAAGACCGACGGGAUAAAAAACUAUUACAAUGAAUGUAAACCGUACAAUAAACAAUGUGAUGAAACAGUUUCAUCUAGGUUUAACCUUUCACACCGAUUCACAUCAUGUAGGAUGUUGCCAUCGCCAACCCUUUGAAUAGAUAGCUUGCAUCUUGGUACAUGAAUUCAAUAGUUUAUUCCGUAAUCGAUUAGGGAAUAGCAUUAUCACUAUUUUCUUUAAAUGAAGAUUACACUACACAUUGAUACCAAUAGUAUGUUUAUCAAGCUAUGCGAAUGCAGCUCGAUGAGAGGAUGAGUCAUUUCCGAAAUCCUGUACAGCAAUAGUAUACAGAGUGCUCAAGAAGACAAAAUUCGAAAAAAGAAUGGAAAAGAAAAAAUACAAAAACAAAAGAGUGAUAAUCAUGUUAGACAUGAAAGGCCACCGAUGUUAACUACAGAAUUACAAGAUGGUUCAUCUUCGAAUUCAGUUUGCACAAAGCUUAAGUACGAGAAUAUCCACACUCCAGUGAAGCAAAUUGAAACUCAAACUCUACUUGUUAUCUCUUCUAGCAAAAUAAAGAUGAUUGAAUGGCAAUUCGUCAAGCAAACAUCUAACCCUACAUAUGGAGCGGACAGUGCUGAUAGCACUAUUAAGUUGAUAAACAACAGACUUUCAAUGCUCUUUAUUUCUUCUUCAAAAUCCACAAGAUCAUUCAACAGCUCCACUGACAAGACAGGGAGAAACAAGAGUUUCCAAAUAGAUUGCAAAUUCGAUAUUGCAGCCCCCAUCUAUGGGAUAAUCCUUGCAAGUAUUAUCCUCUGGAUUAAAUAGAAUCAUCCGCUUCAUAUCCAUCUGGAAAACGAUUUUCCACACCAUGUGUACGCGAGGGGGUCCUUCCUAAGGGGGGUAUUCCAAUUAAUGAAGGCACUGCAAUCAACACCGAACCAUUUUGUCCACGAUGCUCCUCUCCUGUACCCAUCUGUAAUCCAUGCCUCGAUACGGGGAUCACAGGCGCUGUCAUAUAUGAACAGAUUGGCCCCAUGAAUCCCGAGUCCCAGGAGAUGUACGUCCUCAUCGACUUUAAGGACUGGACGUACCGACGAAAUUCCUCUUCCAACAAAUCAAAUGACAUAAUCACAACUUCACACUUGUUGUCUAUGCUCCAGACAUGGCCGCACCAGUGUAAGGCCCCUUUCCAAUAAACUCCUUGGCUGUAAAUUAUGACAUCACUUUGUUCCACCUCCUGGAACUGGACUUCUAUGCUUCUCCACGAACUAGACUUGAGCGAAAAUAUUGCCACCUCCCAAUUUUCAUCACUAGAAACAUCUGCUGCUACUAUUUUGUUGUCAUCAGAUUAAGAGUCAUAUCAGAAUAUCUGACUUCACCAAAUGACUCAGUUUGAUGAACAAAACCAAAAUCGGACAACUCAAUAUACUCCCUGGUGGUCAGGUUAUGUAUAAGAAAAUUGCUAGGGCCAAACAUACCAGGCCAUCGGAGGACCCCACGAUGCGGGGCUUCCAGAAAGGUUUGAUCGGAUGAGGUACCACCAUGGGACCCUCACCGUCGUUUAGCGCUUCGUAGUUUACAGUCUCGAGCAGGCUCGAGCAGGCUCGAGCAGGCUUCUUUUAAUAGUAUUUUAAUAAUGUUUUCCAUGAUAUUAGUGGAUGUUAUUUGAACAUUCCCUUUUCUAUUUAUCUCAACAUUUCGUACAGAGAUUAUUAUAUUGGCAUUUUGCAAAUUUCCCAUAAUAUCAUUCAUAGAUCAAAGUGUCGCAUCUUAGUAGAUCAAAUACUCGUAUUUCUCUGACUUGUCCUCCCUUUUCUUAUGAGCUUUAUCGACGUUUUUUGUUUUUCUUAUUUUUGUGUUGGUCGACAACUAUAGGGCCUAGCUAACACCUCUUCAGAAAAGAUGAACUCGGGAAAUUGCACUUGGAAUGAAGGACACAAGCUGUACAUUAUUGGAAAAUAGACUUGAAGGCUCGUUGUGAUUCGUAGAUUGCAAUUGCAAUUUUUCGAGUUUAAUUAGGCCUUGAACCAAGCAGAAGAAACCAAGGGAACAAUUACCAAGAGCAUGGAUGAUGUGGAUUUUGAUAGGUUUGUAGGUUCUAGGCCCUUCAAGACCAUAGACUACAAAGCGCUGGACGGCUACAGCAGGUGGAAUUAUCGAUUUAGUUCCAAGGGAACUCCACUUGGUAAAGUGACAGUGAGGUAUUUUGAAGAAGUAUCUAAUCAACGAACAGAACUAAGGUAAAACUCAUGAGGUCAAAAACAUCACAAUGAUUUCAAAUUGUUCUACACACAUUGUGGUAAAAGGACAUCAUCCAGGCUAAAUCUGUCGCAUCGUAAUGCGUCAUCAUAUGUGGAUUUCAAUCAUUUAUACGACAAUCAACUACGAAAUUUCAAUAUCACCAGUUUCUUUAAUUGGAGAAACUACAAAUAUGGUUUGGUGCCAAUGGUACAUUUUUCAUGCCGUGCGAGAGUAGCCCGAAUAGAGGAUGGGUUAUUCACGAAAUCUUGUUCAACAAUAGUAUGCUGAUUAUUAACUACAGCAAGUAAAAGAUGGUUCUUACUCUAUUUCAGCUGGCACAAAGUCUCAAGUGUGUGACUUUUCUGGUCCAAGCGUAACGAAAAUUGAACUCUACUUUGUUGUCUCUCACAAAAGCUUAUUCUUCCUGUUUGAUGCAAUCUUAGUACUUCAUGAUUCCAUAGCACCAUCCUUCGAAGGCAAGCCAAGGAUUCGCAGAUUGUGAUCCAUCUAUCCGAUUGCAAUGUACUUUGAAUCCAGACGAACUUAACGCUUGUCAUUUUACCUACAAUUGCAACUAGAAUGAAUGUCACGUUUAGAGUCUCUUCAAUAACCAUCAUGUUUUUUUCUAUUUUUUUGUUCUUUUGUUCCCUAGAGCAUUAAAAGAAUAUCAACUAAUUUUUCUAUUUCUUGAAAAAGAAAAAUGAUCAGGGAAUAGAUUUGAAAUAAAACUAAAAAAAAAAAAAUUAUAUUUCAUUGUUUUUGAGAAUAGAAAUUGAUAAUUCUAUUUCUGAAUAGAAUUUGUUUCCGAGAAUAGAAACAUUACCAGAUGUACCACGUGCAAGAUUUCAAAGGAGGAGAAAAGUAGGAGGAGAGGCAGAGAUGACCUAUCCCGAAUAGACCAGGGAAAAACUUGAUACAAUUUACUCUAAUUUUAUACUUGAUAUACUCUGGCAAAGCACAAAAUAUUUAAGUUAUUCCCCAAAGCAGCUUGCACUACUAAACGAAACAGGAGGAAAGCAGUAUAACAAUACGUUGUGAUUCUAGACAUGCACUUCCACUGGACAGAAGAAUAGAAGAAUACAAAGUAUCUCGAUCUCGAAUACUUAAGAGGUGAAAUAAUCCUCCUAUUAACCUUACCAGAAAAAAAAAAUUUAAUCCUCCUAUUAGUGCAUAGAGUUAUGGUGCUCUCGGAAAAACUAUGGAAAUUUUAUGAGGGUAGAAAGGUUUCAAGAGAAUUCAGACUUUUGAAUUUCUCACUUUUUCUAACCUUAUGUUUGGUGGAAUUUUGUUAUAAGCAAAUUAUCAGAAACACACUUGCUUUCUUUUUUCAGAUAAUAUUUUCAGCUACUGGAGAAAUUGAAAAAAAGGCAAAUACAAUGAAAAUAAAGAACAGGUAAAUAUUCUGUAAACAAACACAUCCUUUAUUACCUUAUUAUUUUCAGAAUUUGCGUACAAAAUCUACCAUAGAAACUCACAUUAUAUUUGAGCCAGCAAGUGCAAGAUAACAUCCACUAUGAUCAAAUCCAACUGCAAAAUAAGAGAGAGACCCAGUCAUAGUUAUAUUUGCACAAAUAAUUUACACUCACUAAGCCAACCCUCCUCCCGCUUCCCUCUCCUCCCCUCCUUCCUCCCCUGUCUCUCUUUCCUUUUUCUUUUUCUUAUUUUUUCCCUUUGUAAAAGAAGAGAAAAUAGAACCAAUAUAAUGUAUAAUCUUCUUUGAGGGAGCUCUAUAGAAAAAGUUCACUCUUCAUAACAAAUCCAGGCAAACAAGGAGGCAUCCAUUGCUCACUGCCAUCCCAGAUCUACUUUCACUACAACAAGCAGGGCUAAGAGGGCUAAGAGGGUGUUAUACCAGAACCUGUCUCUAUGUCUUGUCAUAUGCUGAAAAUGUGCGAAAGUUCUUCAACUUCCGCAAAUCCCACAACUUAACCCCAACCCGAGCUUCAGUCUAUGAAAUAAAUGUCCAAGUCAUAUGGCAUGUCCAAAAUCUCUAUUGAUAAUAAAAGAGAGAUCAGAGGAACAUUUACCGCAAGGAAGUUUCCAUUCUUAGAGAAAGAUAUAGCAGUAAUUGCCCCGGUUGGCCAGAAAGUGUCGUAACAUUUGCCUGUUUCUAUCACACCCUGAAAAUAUCAUGAAGGGGGAUGACACAGCCGUCCUUCGACCUGAAGGACGCAAUCUCAAAGCUCCCAAAAUCCAACUCCUAAAAGUCCCCUCGUCGAUAUUGCUCUCGUAUUACUCAUCGUUAGCUGAGAAGCCUGAAAAAGAUUAGAAUAAUAAAGGGAUGAGCAACCAUAGGUUAGUGAGUAGUGCAUUUCUUCUAAAUGGAUUGAGCACCUACUAUGCAUAUUUAUAAACCAAACCGCAACUCUUUUAACUCAAAUACAUAAUAUAACAAACAUAAAAUAAGAGAAUAAGUCACAUAUGCUUUAACACAGCAGAUUCAUUUCACAAUAAUAUCAUAACAAACAUUAAUGGUCCAAUUCAUUGAUCAAUCUCAUUAAUUCACAUGCCAAUGGUCCAUUUAAUUGGUUAAUCUCAUCAAUGGUCUAAUGAAAUCAAACAUCGAUGGUUUAUUCCAACGACUAAUUUCAAAUCAUACGUCGAUGGUCCAUUUCAUCGACUAAACUCAAAUCAUAUGUCAAUGGUCCAUUCCAUAGACCAACUUCAUAUCACAUGUCAAUGGUCCACUCCAUUGACUAAGCUCAUAUCACAUGUCAAUAGUCCAAUCCAUUGACCAAUCUGUUGCUCAAUAUCAAAUCAUGGUCACGACACAACACUUAGUGACAACGUGACCAGGAUUUCCCCCUUAGCAAGGUCUCCACCUAUUAUUAACCAAUGGUUCGGCCCACAAGGGUAUCCUAGAGUAAGCAUCUUACUAGGCAUACAACGAUAUUAAGAAUCAACACCAAUCUACAACAACCUCCAUAAUUUACAAAGCCAGAUCCAAAAAUCAUUUCAUAUGUCAUAAUAUAUUUAAUAAAUCAACCACAUAACCUUUCGCAACUCAAUUUAUUCGCUACAAAUACUUUUUGUAAAAUAUUUCUCAAAUCAUUUUAGAACUCAUCUCAUAAACCAGUUUUACAAUCCAAAUCAAAUCAAAUGCUUGUCAAAAAGCUUAUCACAAAUCGAUUUCUAUAUUAACAUUCCAUAUACCAUCUCAAAGUUGACAUUUUCGUAAAAAAAAUUUCACAGACCCAAAAUAUGUCAUAUUUCUCAGCUUCGUUCAUCAAACAUAAUAUAUAUUUCGAUCGAAAAGUUCUCACUCUAUUUUCAAAUACCAAAACGUAGUAAAUAUCUGAUUCAAAUUUUAUGCAACAAAAAUGCUUAUUCAUAACUCAUAAAAUAUCAAAUCUUUAUCAUUUUAAAGACACGAGCUUAUAAAUUCUUAGAAGAAAUAGCACCACUCAUUUGGGAAAGCCGAAAAUCAACUUAUGUUGGUUACUCAAGCCAACACAUUCGUAUUCCUAUCAAUUAAUCAAAAACAAUAUCCAAACCAAGUAAUAUGCUACUCUCCAACUAAAAACUCGAUUAAAUUAUGCUUAUUCAUCGAUAAAACGAUACCUACGUGCUAAUAAACCACAUAUUCAAAGCGAUCAUUUAAGCUGUCCGCAAUGUGAAACUUGAGGGCGAAAAUUGGUCACCUCGUAACUUUCUCUACCGAACCCCGUUUCAAGCAUACUUAUAGUCAAUGGAAAGCCCUUCCAACAUAUUACAAGAACCCCAAUUUAGCCAACCUGAAAUCAAACAAAAAUCAACAAAAUAUGGUCCCAAAAUCCCGGUCGUGCUCUGUUCAUCAUGCAUGAUAAACUUUAAAAUUUUGUUUCCAGCAAACCGUAAGCUCAAAUUACGAUCCGUAAAAUCUUACAACUCCACAACACCCUAAAAUAUAAUUUCUCUAAAAAUACAUGGCUCAACGACUCAAAAAUCAUACUUCGCCACUCUAUUUUCCCAAAAUUCUGAAUUUCAAGCCCUAAGUCCAAACUUAAUUCGAUUGAAUGAAUCGCAGGGGGGCAGGGGCACAGGCACGGGUUCUUACCAGGCGUUGCAUUAUAUGGUUGAGGUGGCUUGGCAAGGCUCCCAUGGCGACAACGCAUGAAACCCUCUUUUUCUCCAUUUCCUUCUUCUCCUUCUCCUUUUCUUUACUUUCUUUCCCUUACACAAGCUCUCUGGUCUCCCUUUCUCUCUCUCCUUCUUUUCCCUUCUCUCUUUCCCUUUUUAUUUCCUCCUUUCUCUUUUUAUUUCUGUCUUUUCUUUUCUUUCCUUCUCUCUCUCUCUCUCUCUCUCUCUCUCUCUCUCUCUCUCUCAGUUUUCUGACUGGGUCAAAACUCAUAUUUUACAAUUUCAAAAUGAAAAACAGCUACAAUAGCAUGUUGCCCUACCUAAAAUGGAUAGAAGAGGAACAAUAACUGCGAAAGAAUAAAACAUGAGAAGAAGGCAGAUUCGUGGAGGUGAUUGACUUGUCUCAAAAUGAUCAAGCAAGAUUGUUGAGCUAUAACCAUGAAGAACUAAACUUACUGGAACAAUCUGGUGAAUACAAAAAUGAGGAUGCUAGUUGAAUCAUGGCAUAUGGAAUUCUGCUACUUACAUUUUCCCUCCUUUUUUCUAACAACAUGCCAAGUUGGCAUAUUGCGACUAAAUUGACCAUGAGGAACAAAAGCUGAAAAUAGACCAAGGAAUACUGCACAUGCAAAUCGUCAGGGUGGGAUGCAAGAUUGUCAUAUCAUAUUUUAUGGGGUAAGUAUACUAGAAGUGCCAAAAGUUUAUUUUGGGUCACUUAAGUGUCAAAAAGUUUGAAAAAUCAUCAUUUCAGUGGCAAUGUCAAUCUGAUUGGCUGGAAAUCCAAUGACACUUUUUUUAUUAAUUUUGAAGUCAACAUGGUUCGUCAGAAAGUACAAUCAACAUGAAAACAACAAAACAACACCGUUUGACAUCUUUCCCCAAGUAAGAACCCUAAAUCUCCAAAUUCAAAUAGAACCGGAAGUUAAAACUCUAACUGGCUAAUCCAGCGCCUACUUCAAUUUUCUCCCAAAAUUAUUAGCUCGAUCUUGCAAAUGAAGGGCAGAAGCCCUAGUAGCAGCUCACAUUCGUUCCAAAAAAGUGAAUUGGAUGGUGAGUGUUACUAUUGUUGCGAAUUACUCAGUUUGAGAAGAACAUAUUGGACUCGGUUCAAUUUGAGGAGAAGAUUCCAUGGGUGCAGGUAUAGAGAAGGCUCGAAAUACAAAUAUUUCAAAUGGGUUGAUAUGAAAUUCUUUGGUUGAGCGACAAAAGUGAUCUUUGAGCUAUUUGAAGGCCGACAUCAACCUCCACCUACAUUAAUGGACAAGUUAGAGAAUGUCGACUCAAUGCAAGCUCAAAUGAAGGUUUAAUUAAAGCUACUCAAUUCAACCUAAUCACAUCAUCGAGUGUCAAUGACUCAAGAAAUGGCAAAACAUGGGCUAAAUGAAGACAAGAGUGAACAUGAUCCACCAAUAUAUAGUCUAAGGGGCAAUUUUCCCCGCUUAAGGUUACCAAAGCAAACAAAUAGUUAAAUAACGCCAAUAGUAUGUGGAUUCAAUAGUUUAUUCGGUAAUCGAUUAGGGAUUAGCAUAGCAUUAUCACCACUUUCUUUAAUUGGAGACUACAUUGUGCUUUAAUGCCAAUAGUAUGUUUGUCAAGUUGUGUGAGUGUAACACGACGAGAGGGUCAUUUCUGAAAUCUUGUAUAGUAAUAAUAUACUGAGUAUUCAAGAAGGCUCAAUUCAAAAGGAGAAGGCAAAAGAAAAGAGUGAUAAUCAUGUUAGGCAUGAAGAGCCAUCAAGGUUAACUAUAGUAGUACAAGAUGGUCCAACUCAGAUUCAGCUAUCACAAAGCUUAAGCGAACUCUGAUUUUACAAUGGCAAUUUGAUAUACUCAGGUAAAGCACAAAAUAACAGCUCCCAAAAUAGCUAGCAUUACUAAAACGACAAAGGAGGAAAGUUGGAAUUACAGCCGGCCCUGAUCCAGGUCAUACAUUUCCACUGGACAUAAGGAUAGAAGUUUAAGAGAAUUCUACGUGAAAGUUGCCGCACAGACCUUUUAUUUUACUCCUUCUAAAGAGUAAUGGCAAGUGACAUAUGACAGUAAUGGCAAGUGACUAUGACGGUGUCAUAUGCGCCUAGAUUUUUGGCGACAUGCAAGGAGAAGUGUUUGGUGGCAUGCUAGAAUGCCCCUCAAAACCUAAAGCGAAAAGGAAAAGUUAAUGUAUUUGUUGUCAUUGUAUUUGCAAUCAUAUUCUGUUCGGUCUUGAUUAAGAUAUUUUAGUCUUCUUUCUCGAUUUGAAGCCUCCCGUUAGUAAUGGGUCCUUGUUUACUUGUAGGAGACAAACCAAACAUUUGCAGUCGAAACCUUAUAUGGGCAACCAAGAUUAUUUCGACCAACUUAUAAGUACCCACUGGUCAUCAUGCAACUUGUAUUUUACCCUUGCGGAGGUUGUCAGAGUAGGAUAUCUUCACGGAAGAAUAUCAUACUUUCCUUUUGCCUUGAAUAAUGGUCCGCCUAUGGUAUAAUUGAUCAUAUUGAUCCAAGUAAAAAGGACAACAAAAGAGCAAAAUUAUGUUUAAUAUGCAUUGACAGGUUUGACUCUUUAGCAUCCUAGAUUUUUCAGGAUCUGCAGUUUUGAAACUCGGCAUUAUUAAGAUCUCCAAAUCCUCUAGUUGAAUAAGAUCUCAAUAGACUAUUCUAAUUUUCUACUGCAAUAGCCAGACACCCAGAAUCAAUGCAACGGAUCUCUUAUUCUUACACAGAAUUUACUCAUCUUAAUUACAUUUACUGUGUCUCUAAUCAACUAUUGCAGCUACAACAACAAGGACUAAUUGUAGCAUUCAGUUCAGUGCUGAAUCUGUACAAAUCGAGAGUAAACUUGAAGCUACUCAGUCCAACCUAAUCACAUCAUUGACUGUCACUAGCUCGAGAAAUGGCAACACAUGGGCUAAAUGAAGACAAGAGUGAACAUGAUCCACCAAUAUACAAUAUAAGGGGUAAUUUUCCCCGCUUAAGGUUACCAAAGCAAACAAAUAGUUAAAUAAUGCAUGGACCAAAAUGAUGCUCUUAGCAAGGGCCUAAAGCAUGUGAAGGAUUAACCUAAUAAUGAAACAGAAAUAGUGAGGACAACCAGUUGCACUGCAUGUGGGAGUGAGAUAAAUGAUAAGUUACUCACGCUCAGAAAUACUACAUCAUAUUGUGAUCUCAAGACAAUUUAUAGCUGUAUAAGCAUAAUAACUUCACAAAUUAUAAACUAUCUUUCCUUAAACUGAAAUUAUGCGAAUGUUUGGGAUUCGUGAUGUUAAGUGUCAUGACUCAAGGGCAUGACCUUUGUCUUAAGCGAUUGAAAAGUAUAUUAAAGAUAACUUCAAGUGAUGAGUUUCAUAAUUCCCACUUAGACAGAAUCCUUAUCUGAAAUCGCAUCAACUAAAUUUCUACAUGGGAUACUUGUUCUCAAAUACAUCACUUUAUGAUAUGAAGUAAGAUAAUUGCUGGUUUUCUUGAUUAUGUGCCAAUAGGUACUACUACAUAUGCAUGAAUGACUCACUAGCACUUGGUGGUGGAUGCAACUUUGCCCUGUCCUUAAAUGGAGAUAUGUAAGUUGUCAUUUACAAAUUUCCAUUUUUCCAAUAAUCGAGAUACUUGACUCCUUUUCAUGAUAGAUUGUUUGUAUACCUUUCUAUUUUGAUGAGACUGGGAUCUUAUCAAUAGUAAUUACAUUCCUAUAAUCUGCCUUUGAGGUGACUUCUUCAGGAGGAGGUAGAGCGGGUACUUUAGAUGUUAGGAAGGGAGGAGUUUCUGGGAUAACGUCAUCAGUUUCAUCAGAGGGAGGGCUGCCUUCAUAGAAAGUCCUCCAGUAUGGACUAUUCUGCUUAACUUCAGCUCGCAACCAGUGACCGAAGGCCAUCUUCUCCUUACCUUCCAUCUUGGCUUCAGUGAAAGGUAUGGUUUGACAAUACAUGGCAUAAUGCCCUAUUUGUCCACAUGAAUAACAAAAAUGGGGAAGCCAUUUAUAUCGGAAGUCUAGCCAUAAUGCUUUGCCUGCAAUAUGAAUCAGUUGCCCUGUUUUUAAGGGAUCACUUAGGUUAAAUUCCACCCUGACACAACCCACUUUCGAAGUUGUUCCUUCUUUGGUAUCAAGCUUAACUUCCAACAUUCUUCCAAUGCUUCUUAUAGCUCUGCUUAACAUCUGAGUUGUGCACCAUUCUAGGGGAAGGCCAAAUACUUGAACCCAGAAUACACAUUUAGAAAAAUCAUAACAGUGGAGAGGAGUAUUCGGCUUCCAGGGUUGAAAAAUCACCAAAUUAUUAGAGAAUCGCCACAGUCCUCCCUCUUCUACUCUCUGUUUAUCACUCUCUAACUUGAAUUUAGCCACAUAGAUAUCCAUUUCUUGUUGAGAGAUUUGCACAUGAUCUGUACGCCAAGCACGCUGCAUUGUAUUCUAGAAUGCUGGUAGAUUAAUAAGGGAGUCUGAGAAAACCUUACCGACUAAUAUCCUUUGACAUUCUUCAAUUUUUUCCAGGGGUGGCGACUCAUCCCAGGUAUCGAUUUCCUGCUCUGACCAUAAUCGACCCAAUCUAUUACAAAGGCAUGCUUUCUGUUCCUGUUCAGGAUAGUCCAUGAUGAAAGGUCUCAGUUCAGAAAUCAGAGGAGGUAAGGACUGGAGUCGGCAUGCAAAGAGUAGUAGAUUAUUGGCUAUGUGGUUGAUAGAGGAUUAACGAAACUGAUAGAGACAUUGGGGUAAUUCAACAAACAGGUAACGAUCAUAAUUUUGCAGCUGAAAAAAGGAAAGAAGCAAGCGGAAUUGAUGGCUGAGAUAAUUGACAAGAGCAAAAGCAACACCAUCAUCGAUGCAACACAGCAGGGAAUUUGGUUGGGCUAAGAGGAUUCUAUAAAGGAAAUUGCGGGGAAGGUCAAGUUGGUAAACGAAAAUUCAUCGCAGUUGGGAGGGAAGCUUGUUAGAGAAGAAACGCUCUGAGGCACCAAGGAAGCAGAAAAACGGAGCUAUGAUUGCAAAGGGAAGGGGUAGACGAUAACUACAAGGUCACACAGGAAAGAGAUGGGAUUAAAAGUGAAAAUAAGGGUUCAGAAACAGAUACGAUGAAAAAAAAAAACUACCAUUGUUGGUAGAGGGAGGCUCUGCAUGUCAAGAGAGGACCCCAUCGAGGUUUCUUGUUGUGAGUUUUGUUAUGAAUAGGUUAAGUGGGAACAAGUGGACCUGUGAAACAUUUGGAAGCUUAUGUCUGGCUCACAACCCAAAGUUCGAGUUGAAGAAUGUUGAGGUAACAAGCUAAAAUGUCCAAGCUUGCCUUCAAUUGCAAUCACUUCAUGUUGUUGGGAUAGACUUCAUCGGAUGAAGCGUUUGAAUUGAUGCACGACUUGCAAUUUGCAUAGGCCUUAAAUACAUCUUUUAACUUGAUUUUUUCUGACAAAUUAGUUUUGUCUAAGGAGGUUGCUGACCUUGAUGUACAAAGGUGCAUGAAUAAUCUGUUGAACUCUGUGUGUGGGAAAAGAUAAGUGAAUUAGAUUGGCUAUCUCAAUAGAGUUGAAUGUGCUAAGAAUUAUUGUCUUGCUUGCUUUAGGUUUCACAUUUUAUGUGGAUCUUACCGCCUUGGAGGAUAAGACUUUAACUAAAUUGCAAGUUCCGUUGCUAAUGUUCACUUGUCAUCUACAUCUAUGAAGAAUAGGCUCCACAUUUCGUAUUAGCAAUCCCAUUGUCUCGUUUUUGGUGCAGUUAUGGGGCUUCACUCACUCAUCACGCCAUACUACAAGACCUGAAGUUGCAACAAGGCCUGCUCGCGCCGCUCUCCUCUGAAGUUCAUUCUUUAUUGUUUCAAUUUUGCCUAAAUAUAUCCACAUCUAUCCUCAGAAUUCUGUAGCCAAAUAGGUCUAUUUAUAUUACUUGUUGAGGCACCCUUCCAGGUAUGUGAUGGGGCGAAACGGCUGAUUGUACCGGUUACUUGAGACUUAUUCCUGUUUAAACUCAUUUCAACUUCAAAUGAAGCUUGCUUUCUAAGAGUCAGGAAUUCUUGUGGGUGUGCGCGGUCAUUUCUGUAAUCUGUUUUCUGAAAUGUGUGGAUUAAUAGAGAAGAGAAGAAUCGAUGGCAUGCAGACUAAUAUACCUGAGUGGUUCUUGUUUACCCAGAGGGAAUUUUACUUAGAAUUAGCAAUCUGUUCAUAAAGUCAAAUCACAAGAACAAGAGAUCCCUAAUUACAACAGGGUACAUAGAGGAGUAUCUAAGUCCAGAAACAAAAGCAGGCUUUCAAGGUUAAACCAAUGGGAUGAAAAACUAUUACGAUAAAUGUACACAGUUCUAUGAACAUUGCAACGAAAGAGUUUCACCUAGGCUAAACCUUUCGCAACAUUUCACAUUACAGCGGGAUUUUGCCAUCACCAUCCCUUUGAGUAGAUAACUCGCAUCUUGGUACAUGGAUUCAAUAGUUUAUUUGGUAAUUAGGGAAUAACAUUAUCGCCAGUUUCUUUAACUGGAGACUACAUUGUGCUUUGAUCCCAACGGUAUGUUUAUCAAGCUGUGCGUGCAAAUGCAGCCCAAUGAGGAUGGGUCAUUCCCGAAAUCUUGCACAGCAAUAGUAUACUCAAGAAGGCAAAUUUCAAAAAGAGUCGCUGAUCUUGACUAUAGUAUUACAAGAUAGUUCAUCCUCGAAUUCAGUUGCACUAUCCACAUUCCAGUCAAGCACAUUAAAACUCAAACUCUACUUACCAUCUCUCAUUAUUCUAGCAAACCAAAGAUGACUGAAUGGCCAUUCAUCGAGAGCAGACAUGAAACCCUACAUCUGGACAGAGUACUAAAAGCACGAUAAACUUACUAAAGAAUAGACUUUCGACACUAUUUUUUUCUUCAAAAUCCACAAGAUCAUUCAACAGCUCCACCGCCAAGGUAGGGAGAAACAAGGGUUUCCAAAUAGAUAGCAUAUUCGGUAAUAAGGUCCGUCCCUAAGAGAUAUUCCCUGCAAGUAUUAUCCUCCGGAUUAAACAUAAUCAUCCACUUCCUACCCAUCAAAAAAACAAUCUUUUCACUCCUUGUGUACGCAAGGGGAAUCUUCUCAAAGGGCGUAUUCAAGGCACUGCAAUCAACACUUAACCAUUUUUUCCACGGUGCUCCUAUCCUGUACUGAUCUGUAAUCCAUGCCUCAAUGCGGGGAUUUUGGGCAUUAUUGUAUAUGAACAGAUUCGCCCCAUGAAUCUCGAGUCCCAGGAGUAGUAUGCCGUCAUCAACUGCAGGGACUGGAAGCACCUGGUGAAAUUUCUCUUCCAACAAGUCAAAUGACAACAUCGCAGAAAAGCCCUCACCAUUCGUGUUCCAGACAUAGACGUCCCAGUGUAAGGCCCCUUUCCAAUAAACUGCUGGGCCGCAACAUUCGACUCCCUCUUCUUGGAACGGAACUUCUAUCAUCAUCAUCCUCCAGGAACAAGAUUUGAGCGAAAAUAUUGCCACCUUCCAAUUUUCAACUUCAACAACAACAUCCCCUACUACUAGGGCUAUUUUGUAGUCAUCAGAUUGAGAGUCAUAUCCGAAUCCAUAGAAUGAAUCAUAUCUGGCUCCACUACUGAAAUACAUAGCAUGAUCAACAAAAUCGGAACUGGGCAACUCAAUAUACUCCCCGGUGGUCGGGUUAUAUAUGACAAAAUUGGAGGGGCCAAGUAAACAUACAAGGCCAUCACAGGACCCCACGAUGCGGGACUCCCACAAAGGUUUGAUCCCAUGAGGUACCACCAUGCGACCCUCGCCACCGCCGUCGAGCGCUUCGUAGUCCACGGUCUUGAGGGGGCUGUUGCGGCCGCCGAUGAUGAUUCUCUGGCUAGGGAUCAAAUCCGCUGCCUUCACCCUCUGCAGAUGCGACUUGGCGAAGGCCCGGUCGGAGAUCAGAGACCGCCAGCGCUUGCAGACGCAUUUGAAUCGCACCAGCGACUUCGCCGGUAGCCUCAAGAGUAUGUCGACGACGACAUCCUCGGGUAUACUUUCGGCCAUUGUUUGGGCAAAACGGAAACAGGAGGGAUCUCGGACGCGGUCGAUUGGGUCAGCGAUGGCCCGUAGCCGGCUUUCUCGAGAGGUCCCAAGGCCACCGCCGGACACGGGCGGAGGGGGAACUCGCCGGCGUGGGCGGCGGUCGCGCGGUGGAGCCCAGCAGCUGGGCGGAGGCAAGGCGGAGGAGGAGGAGGAGAAGAGAGCUGGCGUGGAAUUUUCAAUUGAACAUAUUCCCAACUUUCCUGAAUUUUAUGAAACCCUAGAAAUUGCAGCCUUAUUAUAUUAUAUGAUACGUUGUCUCGUUUUGUCCAUUUCCCAUAAUAUCCUUCGCAAGACAAAGCGUCCCAUCAUGGCAUGGAAGGGCCACAACGUACAUUCAGACUUUAUUUCUCUCUCCAUAUGGAUCGACAAAAGUUUGGUGGCGACAUGCACGGAUCAGUGUUUGGUGGCAUGCUAGAAUGUCCUUUAAAACCUACAUCAAAAAGGAAAUAUGAGAUGAUGCGUAAUAUUCUUGAUUUUGUUGUCAUUGUAUUCGCAAUCAUCUCAAUCUUGAUUGAGAUAUUUUAGUCUUCUUUCUUGAUUUGAAGCCUCCUUAUUUACUCAUAGGAGACAAACCUGUUUAUUUUCACAAUCUAAGAUGGGCAACAAAGAUUGUUUCGACCAACUGGCAGAUACUUUUGGUCAUCACACAACUUAAGUUUAGCCACUGGAGAGGUUGUUUAAUAGGAUAUCUUCAAGGAAGAAAUAUCAUACCAUCCUUUUGUUUUGAAUAUCGGUCCUAUCUAUGGUCUAAUUGAUCACUCUAAUCCAAGUAAAAAGGAGGACAAAAGAACAAAAGUAUCUUUAUUAUGCAAUGACUGGUUGGCUCUUUAGCAUCCUAGUUUCCUCAUGAUAUGAAGUUCUGAAUUCAGCAUUAUCAAGUUCUCAAAAUCCUCUAGUUGAAUAAGCUUUGGGAAACACAUUGAUAUGACUACAUAUGCAUGAACAACUCAGUAAAACUUGGCCGUGGCGUCAAAUUCACCUUCUCCUUAGAAAGAGAUGCGUAAGUUGUCAUAUUUACCAAUGUCCAUCCUUGCAAUCCCAUGCAAGAGGUCCGUUUUAAUUACCUUUUGUGUCUUAGGUCGAAAAGGUUAAGUGGAACCAAUGGAACUCGUGAAAAAUUCGUGAACUUGCGUCUGGCUCAAAACCCAAAAUUUGGGUUGAAGAAUGUUGAGGUAGCUUUAGCUAAAUCUCCAUGCCAGCCUUCAAUUGCAGAUCACUAGAUGAUAUCGAGAGUGACACUCUCUAAUGAAGCACUCGAUUUUAUGCAUGAACUGCAAUUUGCAUAGGCCUUUAAUUCUGACUACCAAUUGUACUUUUCAACUAGUUACUUUUAACUGUGAUGGGGCCAAAUGCUGAUUGUAACCGCAAGUUAUUUUCGUUAUUAUCAAAUAUGAUGAGGCAUAGAUUGUUACUAACCAUGAAAAUAUUAUUUAUGAGCUCAUUCUUCUAAGCGACGAUAACGAUCAAAAUUUGGAAUAUACUUUUUGAAUUAUCGAUUUUCCCCAAAACAAACUGAGCCCCUAAAAGAUUUUUGAUCUUAGUUACACCCAUGAAGAGAUUAUAGCAGUGCUUAUAGAAUUCAUUUUUGAUAAACUAAACGAAAUUAAUAAACUGCAAAUUCGAUUUCUGUCAUGUCCAUGAACAAUCAUGUAAGGGACGUAUGCACAAACACCAUAUUGAAAUGUCUGCUCAAGAGCUCAUGUAAGAGGUCGCUCUCUGUGAUCUUCGAUCCAUGAUUCACCACACUACAUCUCAAUAGAUGGAUGCAGAAGAAUUCGACGUCUCACCGAAAGAUCCUAAUCCUCCUUCGACCAUCCGAGAUCGGUGGGCUUGGAGAAAGUCCUUCGUGGGAUCAAGGACACUGCAAUCGCUGCGCUCUAUCAUCCACUUUCAGGUACAAGCUCCGAAUAUUCGGGAGUCCAGCAAAAUCCCAAAUCCAAAUGCUAAUAGUAUACAAGGUUGGAAUUUUGUGGACUUGGCUACGAUUGCUCAUCGGACCAUUAUAAAUUCCUGAGCAGGUUCCCUGCUCUGCUGCUCAGUGAAUAAGCAGAUUUAGCUUGUCAUCUAAUAGGUGCUUAACCUGAAGCUUCUGCUUUCGUCUGAAUUAUGGUCAAGGCUUUGUGGAAACCUACUCUUACAGUUCUCAUGUUAGAAUUGUGUCUCUCUCGUUCCAUUGUAACAAAAUCACUAGAUAUGUGCUUGCUUUAACAUUCACAUGAUUCAAGCAAAACAGAGAUGAUUGAAUAGCCAUUCAUCGAGCAGAGAGCUAACCUUAUAUCUGGAGAGGACAGAAAAGUAGGCACAAUGGUGAAGCUACUGGCGAAUGACCAUAACUCAUGGACUCUCGACACUCUUUUUUCUCUUUUUCAGAAUUCACAAGAUCAUUCAACAGCUGAAGAUGGCCAGAUCUCCCCAAAAAGCAAACUUGAAAGAAAAGGGUAAAACCAAAUCCACUAGGACAACUUGUAAAAGGCACUAGAUUAUUGAUGGCCCAGAGCCAAGAUAGGGAGGAACAAGAGUUUCCAAAUAGAUAGCAGAUUCAACAUAUCCAUCCUUCCUCCGGAUGGGAUAAUCCUUACAAGUAUUAUCUUUUGGAUGAAUAGAAUCAUCUUGCCCAUUUCAAUUAGAAAAACAAUUUUUCCACUUCUUGUGUAUGCGACUGGGAUCGUCUGCCAAUAUUUGUAGCCAGGUAUUCUUUUAGUUGAGACAUUGAACCAUUUAGUCCACCAUUGUCCUCUCCCGUAUUCAUUCGUUAUCCACACCUCGAUGCAAUCAUUAUUACGAGUGUCUCGGUAUAUGAACAGAUUGGCCCCAUGAAUUCCAAGUCCAAUGAAAAGUACGCCUCCAUCAACUUCAGGGACAGGAAGCACCUGGUGGAAUUUCUCUUCUGACAAAUCAAAUGACAUAAUUGCGUUCUCUUUCUUGUUUAUGCUUAUGUCAAUAACGCACCAGUGUAAGGCCCCAUUCUAAUAAACUCCUCGGUUGAAAUAGUCGGGACAGCUUUAUCGUUGGACUUGUAUCCUUCUCCAAGAACCGGACUUGAGCGAAAAUAUUGCCUCUUGCUACUUUUUAAAACCACCAGCCUGUACUAUUUUGUAGUCGUCAGAUCGAGGAUCAUAUCCGAAUCCAUUGACUAACGCAUCUUGUUGAACAAGAUCAGAGCAGGGAAAAUUCCUAGACUCCUUGGUGGUCGGGUUAUAUAGGAAAAACCUGCCGGGAACAAGUAAACAUACCAAGCCAUGGCAAGACCCCACGAGGUCAGGCUCCCAGUAAGGAUCGCCAAUUCUCAGCUCAUGAACCUUUACCACCGCGAGAUCGUCAUCACCACCGAUGCCACCGUCGUGCAAUUCGUAGUCUAUGCUCUCAAAGGGGCUGGUUUUGAAGAUUCUCUGGCUAGGAAUUGAAUCCCUCGCCAUUAGCCUUUGCAAAUGCGACUUUGCAAAACCCGGGUUGGAAAUUAGAGACCGCUACCGUUUACCGACACAUUUGAAUCGCAUCAACGACUUGGCUGGUAGCCUCAAGAGUAUCUCGAUGAGGAUAUCCUCGGUGAAAAUUUCUGCCAUCACGGAGGCCUAAUCCUUUGCUGACCAAGGUUCAUCUAAGGAAGCGUUCACUCAAAGUCGCGCAAGAAUAAUUCUAAGCGAAGAAGCUUACCCAGCACAGAACAAGACGAGGGUUAACCAUAUCUUUUUGCCACGUGGGGCGCAAAAUGGAAACAAGAGAUCUCGUACCAUGGGCACGCUCGACGCCAGAAUGAGGUCGACUGGAGUCCAGCAGCGCCGUAUAUGGUGGCGUCGAGCGGCAGCGGCUCGGCGGAGAGGCAAACGGAGGAGAGUAAGGGGAGGAAGAGAGACCGGGUGUGAGGUUAUCAAAUGGACGAAUUCACACUGUUUUUUUAAUUCCAGGAAACCCUAGAAAUUGAAAUUGGUACAGUUGAAUUUCUUAUAUUAUAUAAUAUGCCGUCUCACUUUGUGCAUUUCCCAUAAUAUCCUUCACAAAACAGGUGCCGUUUAGUUGUUUUCGCCUAUAUACCCUGUCAGCUAAAAUUAGUUUUCUUGUUGGCUAGCUGAGUUUGCCAACUGGAAAUUGUUGGCACUUGGCAAGUCUCACCUCUAUUAUUUCUCACUCGGUCUUUGUCAACUGAAAUAUCGGUCAAGGAUAAGGAUUUCUUUUGGUGUCAAUACAUACCUCUUUUCAAAAGAAUUUUAUGAUUUUCAAUUCUUCUGAAUAUUUGCACACAAUCAAUUGAACAAUGUGCAUUUAAUGAUGGUAACUUCUCAUAUUAUAUCUUCUCGUGGCAUGUUCCCUGUCACAUCCUUUCGAGAAGCCUUGAAAACGUAUUUAUUUGGAUGACGUGUACUGAAGCAAAGGUUGCACCUUUACAUCAUUCUUUACCAUCUGAAUCGUCUUCGAGCUUUCACUUUCAAGCUUUUCCGUCGCCUUUACCACUAGAGAUUCAACCUUCUCUCCUUGCCGCGUGAAAUGUAUGUCUCUCGGUUUACCAGUCCCCACAGGCUUGCGCAAGCUUUCGCUAGAAUUCAUGGACAGGCCCAAAGAUGAUACCGACGAAACCAUUCUCGGUUUCAUAUUCUAAAUCACUUUCUGUUAUGGCGACCAUUGAUCAAUUUUUUCCUCCUCAUCCCUAUUUUCUGGGAUUUCAUCUCUAAACAAGCUUGGUCGAAAAUAACUAAUUGACUCAUGGCAUUUCCAGCUUUCGAUUAACAAUUUCUUCGGUGGUUCUCAAAGUCGAAGCCUCACAUGCUUUCCAUAUGGAAUCAUUCAAUACUUGAUUUGGCUUUGGAAAUCCACUACUUAUCUAAAAUUUAGAAUUUAGUUUGCUAGGUACCUAGCAACCAAGAUUGUUUCGACCAACUGAUAGGUACCCGUUGGUCUUCAUGCAACUUUAAUUUGACCUUUAUAGAGGUUGUCGGAUUAGGAUAUUCUCACGGAAGAAUAUCAUACUUUCCUUUUUGCCUUGAAUAGUGGUCCGUCUAUGGUAUAAUUGAUCAUAUUGAUCCAAGUAAAAAGGACGACAAAAGAGAAAAAUUAUGUUUGAUAUGCAUUGACAAGUUUGACUCUUUAGCAUCCUAGAUUUCUUAGGAUCUGCAGUUCUGAAAUUCAGCAUUAUUAAGAUAUCAAAAUCCUCUAGUUGAAUAAGAUCUCAAUAGAUUGUUCUAAUUUGCUGCUGCAAUGGCCAAAGGCAUGGAACUAAUGCAACGGAUCUCUUAUUAUACACUAAAUUUACUCAUCUUAAUUAUGUCUAACAUGUCUCUAAUCAACUAUUACAACUACAAUGAGGACUAAUUGUAGCAUUCAGUUCAGUGCUGAAUCUUUACAAAUUGAGAGUGAGCUUGAAGCUACUCAGUUCAACCUAAUCACAUCAUUGAGGGUCACUGGCUCAAGAAAUGGCAAAAGAUGGGCUAAAUGAAGACAAGAGUGAACAUGAUCCACCAAUAUACAAUCUAAGGGGCAAUUUUCCCUGCUUAAGGUUACCAAAGCAAACAAAUAGUUAAGUUACGCGUGGACCAAAAUGAUGCUCUUAGCAGGGGCCCAAGGCAUGUGAAGGAUUAACCUAAUAAUGGAACAGAAAUAGUGAGGAUAACCAGUUGCCCUGCAUGUGAGAGUGAGAUAGAUGAUAAGUUACUCACGCCCAGAUAUACUUCAUCAUAUUGUGAUCUCAGGACAAUUCAUGACUCAAGGGCUCUUAUGAAAUUGAAAAGUAUCUUAAACAAGAACUUCUUGUGAAGAGUUCCACAAUCCGCACUUAGACAGGAUCCCUAUCUUAAACUGCAUCAGCUGAAUUUCACACAGGAUACAUAUGUUCUCAAAUCUGGUGAUAUAUUCUUCACUUUAUAAUUUGCAGCAAGAUAAUUGACCUCGUUUUCUUCACUACAUGCCAAUAAAUACUACUACACAUGUAUGAAUGACUCACAUGAUUAUAGUUAAAUGUUCAUCACAUAACAAGACCCAAUAAAUUGUUGGUGAAAUUACACCAAAUCAGAUCGGACAACAUUAGCUAGUGAAGUGAAUAUUCCAGCAAAACAAAAAUGAUCGAAUGGCCAUUCCUCAAGCUACAUCUAGAGUGGACAGAGUACUUAAAGCACAACGAAGUUAAUAAAGAAUGACCAGAUCUUAUAAUAGACUUUCAACACUCUUUAUUUCUUCUACAAAAUCUACAAAAUCAUUCAAUAGCUCCAGAUGGCCAGAUCAUUAAACUAGAAAACAAAAAGGUAAAAUUAAAAGCACCAAAAUGACUCUUAAAGGCUCUGGAUUCUUGAUGGCUCACUGCGAAGAUAGGGAGAAACAAAAGUUUCCAAAUAUAUAGCAUAAUCGGUAUCGCAGUUGCUCCCCAUGGGAUAAUCCUUGCAAGAAUUAUCCUCAGGAUUAAACAAAGUCAGCUUCAUAUCCAUCUGAAAAAUGAUUUUUCCGCUCCUUGUGUACGCAAGGGGUUUAUUUGCCAUGCGAUCAACACUGAAAAAUUUUGUCCACAAUGCUCCUCUCCCGUACUCAUCCGUAAUCCAUGCCUCCAUGAGGUAACGGGUGCUGUAACGGGUGCUGUGGUAUAUGAACAGAUUCGCCUUGUGAAUCCAAGUCCCAUGUUCUCAUUGACUUCAGGGAUCGGAAGCACCUGUUGAAAUUUCUCUUCCGACAAAUCAAUUGACAUAAUCACAUCUUUGCGCGAAUCGUCUAUCUGUCCAUGCUAGUGAAAGCCCCUUUCCAAUAAACUCCUUGGCCAGAAAGUUUAACUUUCCCUUUCCGGAACUGAACUUCUAUCCUUCUCCAAGAACCGGACCUGAGAGAAAAUAUUGCCACGUUCCAAUUUCCAUCACUAAAAACAUCUACUGCUACUAUUUUGUAGUCAUCAGAUUGAGAGUCAUACCCGAAUCCGCAGAAUGACUUAUCUCCAAAUCCACGGAAUAACUCAGCUUGAUGAAGAAUAUCAAGAUCAAGAACGGGCAACUCAAUAUACUCCCUGGUGGUCGGGUUUUAUAUAAGAAAUUUGAAGGGGGUAAUAAAACAUACCAGGCCAUCGCAAGACCCCACGAUGUAGGACUCCCGCAAAGGUUUGAUAACGUGAGGUACCACCACCAUGCGACCCUCGCCGCCACUGUCGAGCGCUUCGUAGUCCACGGUCUUGAGGGAGCCAUAGCAGCCACCGCUGAUGAUUCUCUGGCUAGGGAUCAAAUCCCCUGCCUUCAACACCUGCAUAUGCGACUUGGCGAAGCCCGGUUCAGAGAUCAGAGACCGCCACUGCUUGCAGACGCAUUUGCAUCGCACCAGCAACUUCGCCGGUAGCCUCAAGAGUAUGUCGACAACGGCAUUUUCGUGUAUGCUUUCGGCCAUUGUUUCGGCAAAAUGGAAACAGGAGAGAGAGCUCGGAUUUGUUGGAAUUUUGUUUGUUAAAACAAAAUAAGUGCUUUUUACUUUGUCCCACGUAAAAAAUGUGGGUGUAGGAGGGUAGUUUAAAAAUGUGGGAUUUCCCUUUUGUAGUUAAAAGAGUGAUUAGGUGGGCCAGAUCCCACCAUACCUGUGCGGGUGCGUGAAUAAUUGCGCGCGCCUGAGAUUUAAUUAGCAUUAAUCCCUUGCUAUUUAUUUAUUUAUUUAUUUAUUAUUUUAUUUUUAGUUUAAAUGUUGCCUUUUAAUUUGAGAAUUUCGGAAAUGAAAUAUAAAUGAAAUUUCGAAAUUUUAUUUUUUUUAAAUUAUUCGAAAUUUUAUUUGUGUCUUUUCAAGACAACCUUUGGAAAAUUACUUAUUCGGUUUUAAUUUUUCCGAAUGAUUGCAAUUGUUCGUUUUCGAUUUCUUCCGAAGAGUUGCAUUUGUUUAUCUGAAACAAUUUUCUAAAGACGUGUUUGUUCGCAAUUUUCAUAAAGAGUUACAACACUGUUUCAUAUAUAUACUUAGUGGUCAUUUUUCGAGUAUUCUUUCUGAAAACAGCAGCCAAUUUUUCGAUUGUUUUCCUAGAGAAACACUUGAGAAAUACUAUAAUUGUUAUUUAGUAUUCUCAUCCAAAACUUUGUUGUAUCCUGGAGGAUUUUUGCCGGUGAUCAUUAGCAACGUUGUGGGGCAAAUAAAUUCUUAAAAAAAGUGAUAUCACGCCUCAAAGUCCAAGUUGUUUUACUUGAUCCGAUUUCAUUGUACUACCUAAUUUCGAAGCAUAUUUUACCACCAGGAUUGAGGUCGAGUAGGUCAGCGAUGGCUAGUAGCCGGCCUUCAUAUAUUGGGAGAGGCAGCGGGAUCCGCGUCCACGUGCUUGGCGUGCGAGAGUAGCCCGAACAGAGGAUGGGUUAUUCACGAAAUCUUCUGCAACAAUAUAGUAUGCACGACUUUUAGCGUUCAAGAAGGGCAAAAUUCGAAAAGAAAAACAAAGAGUCGUAAUCACGUAAGACGAAAGAGCCAUUCAUUCGGGAGCGUGGACUACGUGUACGUGUGGCACGCCCUGUGCGGGUACUGGGGCGGGCACGCCGGGCCUGCCCAAGUCGAGCGUGGUGAAAAUUGACCUCGUUUUCUUCAUUACAUGCCAAUAAAUACUACUACUUAUGCAUGAAUGACUCACAUGAUUAUAGUUGAAUGUUCACUACAUAACAAGACCGGUAAAUUGUUGGUGAAAUUACACCAAAUCAGAUUGGACAAAUUAGCAAGUGAAGUGAGUAUUCCAGCAAAACAAAGAUGAUCAAAUGGCCAUUCAUCAAGCAGAGAUUUGACCCUACAUCUAGAGUGGACAGGGUACUUAAAGCACAAUGAAGUUAAUAAAGAAUGACCAGGUCUUAUAAUAGACUUUCAACACUCUUUGUUUCUUCUACAAAAUCCACAAAAUCAUACAACAGCUCAAGAUGGCCGGAUCAUUAAGCUAGAAAAAAAAAAAGGUAAAAUUCAAAGCACCAUAACGACUCUUAAACGCUCUAGAUUCUUGAUGGCUCACCGCGAAGAUAGGGAGAGACAAGAGUUUCCAAAUACAUAGCAUAUUCAGAGUCCUCCUCUAUGGGAUAAUCCUUGCGAGAAUUAUCCUCCGGAUUAAACAGAAUCAUUAGGUUCAUAUCCAUGUGGAAAACGAUUUUUCCGCUCCUUGUGUAUGCGAUGGGCUUUCUUGGAAUGGGGGGUAUUAUUCCAAUUUAUGAAGGGACUGCAAUCAACUCUGAAAAAUUUUGUCCACAGUGCUCCUCUACUGUACUCAUCUAUAAGCCAUGCCUCAAUGAAGUAAUCGGUGCUGUGGUAUAUGAACAGAUUCGCCCCGUGAAUCCCGAGUCCUAGGAAAUCUAUCUCCUCAUCAACUUCAGGGACCGGAAACACCUGGUGAAAUUUCUCUUCCGACAAAUCAAAUGACAUAAUCACAUCUUUGCGCAGAUCGUCUAUCGUCCAGACAUAAGCGUGCCAGUGAAAGGCCCCUUUCCAAUAAACUCCCUGGUCAGAAAGUUCAACUUUCCAUUCCUGGAACUGAACUUGUAUCCUUCUCCAAGAACCGGACUUGAGAGAAAAUAUUGCCACCUUCCAAUUUUCAUCACUAGAAACAUCUGCUGCUACUAUUUUGUAGUCAUCAGAUUGAGAGUCAUAUCCGAAUCCGCAGAAUGACUCAUAUCCAAAUCCAGAGAAUAACUCAUAUCCAAAUCCAGAGAAUAACUCAGCUUGAUAUUCAUAUCCAAAUCUAUAGAAUAACUCAGCUUGAUUAACAAGCUCAGGACCGGGCAACUCAAUAUACUCCCUGGUGGUCGGGUUAUAUAUGACAAAAUUUCUGAAGCAAAUUAAACAUGAGACCAUCGCAGGACCCCACGAUGCAGGGCUUCCCCAAAGAUUUGAUCGCUUCCUCCAGUUCUAAAUAUUCCCUUUUUCUAUCUAUGUCAACAUUUUUUAUAAAGAGAGAGAGAUUCUAAUGUUUUCCUUACGCUUCCUCCAGUUCUAAAUAUUCCCUUUUUCUAUCUAUGUCAACAUUUUUUAUAAAGAUUAUUCCAUCAGCAUAUCGUGAAUUUUCCAUACUAUCAUUCGUAGAACAAAAAGUCACAACUUAGUAGAUCAAAUACUCAUAUUUUUCUGACUCGUCCUCUCAUGAUCCUUCUUACGAUCUUUACCCACAUUUUUUGUUUUUCUUAAAACUGUGCCGGCUGAUAAGCGUAGGGACCAAGUAUACCUCUUCGGAAAAGGUGCCAACUCGGGAAGCUACACUUGAAAUAAGUGACACAAGCCAUAUACCAUUGGAAAAUAUACUUGAAGGCUCGCUGCGAUGCGUGGAUUGCAAUUGCAAUUUUUCAAGUUCCAACUAGGCCUUGAACCAAGCAGAAGAAACCAAGAGAGCAAUCACCAAGAGCAUGGAUGGUGUGGGUUUGAUAGGUCGGCAGGCUCUAGGCCCUUCAAGACCAUAGACUACAAAGCGCUUGACGGCUUUAGCAAGUGAAAUUAGCAAUUUAAUCCCAAGGGAACUCCACUUGAAAGAGUGGCGACAAGGUACUUCGAGCGAGUAUAUUAGGAACAGAACCAAUGUAAAACCCAUGAGUUGCAAAACAUCACAAUGAAUGUAAAUUGUUCUAGACAUUGUGGUAAAAGGUCAUUAGGCUUAAACCUUUUGCAUCACAUGCGAUGUAGCGCAUUUUCUACGUGGACUUCAAUAAUUUAUUCAACACAAUCAAUUAGGAAAUGGAAAUAUCACCAGCUUAUUUAAUUGAAGAAACUACAAAAACACUUUGAUGCAAAUAAUAUGUUUCUCAUGCCGUGCGAGAGUAGCCCGAAUAGAGGACGGGUCAUUCACGAAAUCUUGUGCAACAAUAGUAUGUACGACUUAGCAUUCAAGAAGGGCAAAAUUCGAAAAGAAAAACAAAGAGUCGUAAUCACGUUGGACAAAGAGCCAUUGAUUGUAACUGCAGCAAUACAAGAUGGUUCAGGCUCAAAUUCAGCUAGCACAAAGCUUUAAGUGCAUGAGUAUUCAGGUCCAAGCAUAACGAAACUCUUGCUGUCUCUCACAAAAGCUGAUUCUACCUGCUUGAUGCGAUUCCAACGUUUCAAAAUUCCAUAGCGCCAUCCUUCAAAGGCAAGCCAAAGAUUCAUAAAUUGUGAUCCAUCGAUCCGACGGCAAUGUAUUUUGAAUCAGGACCAAAUUUAACGCACAUCACUUUACUUGCGACCCGAACCAGAAUAUCAGUGGAAGCCACAUUCAGAGAUGCAAGAUUUAUAUAAGAAAGAAAGGAGGAGGAGGAAGGGGAGACAUGACCUGUCCCAGAUCAGGAAGAAUAGAAGAAUAGAAGGACAGUUCCUGAUUCUGGACAUGCAUUUCUAUUGGACAGAAGAAUAGAAGGACACAAAGUCACUCGAUCUUGAAUACUUAGGAGGCAAAAUAAUCCUCCCAUUGGCGGUGCAUAGAGUUAUGGUGCUCUCGGAGAAACUUUUGAAAUUUCGUGAGAGUAGAAAAGUUUCAGGAGAAUUCACAGUUUUGAAUUUCCCACCUUUCUGAGUAUGCGUUUGGUGAAACUUUUUUGUAAGCAACUUAUCAUAAACACAUUGUUUUCCGACUUUUCAGAAAAUAAUUUUCAGCUAUCAGAGAAAUUGAAAGCAACAGAGGCUAGCUCAUACAAUUAAAAUAAAGAACAGGUAAAUAUUCUAUAAACAAACACAAUCCUAUAUUACCUUAUUAUUCUCACAAGUCGAGUACAAAAUUCUACCGUAUAGAAACUCAUCGCCAGCAAGUGCAAGAUAAAAUCCACUAUAAUCAAAUUCAACUGCAAAAUAGGAGAGAGACUCAGUCAUAGUUACUCACUGAUAAUUCACACACACUGAGCCAACCCUCCUUCACACACACACACACACACACACAAACACACACACACACACACACACACACACACACACACGANNNNNNNNNNNNNNNNNNNNNNNNNNNNNNNNNNNNNNNNNNNNNNNNNNNNNNNNNNNNNNNNNNNNNNNNNNNNNNNNNNNNNNNNNNNNNNNNNNNNAAAUAGGGGAUAUGACAUAAUAUCUGCAAAUUAAUUUUCAAGAAACCUUUUACAACAUAUUGCGCAAUCUAGGGCAAAAGAAUCUUAUUCUAGAUAGUUUCGUUUAAUACUGCUAAUGAUAUCACCAGCAUAUUCUCAGUAUCUAUGACCAUAUUAGCAUCCCACCAGCACCCACAGUCAAAACUUGCAGCAAUUUGACGUUGAUUGCUAUUAACUACAUGGUGACAGCAACAUAAUUAGAUAGUUCCAUCCCAUAUAAUAACAGAAAAAUUGUAAGAAAAAUAAGAAAGCCGCUUCUCCAAUCAAGAAUUACUUCUUUAAUGCUCAAACAAAACAACAACGAUAUAAGCAAAUUUGAAAAGCAAACCAACAUCACAGUAGAUCAACCAUCAUGCAACACAGCAUCAGACCUACAACCAUUCUGAUGCUGAUACACGAUUUUCACCACCAAAAUCAGGAGUUUGAACGAAGAGGAUGUUGGAAAAGGGCAGGAAAAAGAUCACACAUAUCAUUGCAGAAAAGAGUAAAACAUAGUUUGCGGUUCAACUCAUGUUAAAAUUAAUGAAAGACUAUAUGCAUAAAACAAAGUUGCUCAAAAUGCAUCAUUAUAUGAUUUAGUUAUUACAGUCUUCACAAGAAUUAUCAUCCAAAGAACACAUAUGACAUUGACAGAAACAAGGAUAUUCAUUAUUCAGUAUGGAUUUUGCAGUCCCAUCAUGAGUCCUAUAACAAAGCUCUAAUUCAGAGGCAUGGCACAAUUUUGUUCAGUCCCAAAAUUUGCAAUUUUCAAGAAGUCAGCAUAAUUCAUCCUGAGAAGAUAUUGUCCCGAUCCAAAGAAGUAUCAAUCCCUUUGAAAGAAUAAUGGGAAGUAGAUUUUCUGAUGAGAGGUGUUUCAUUUUUCUAUGCAGGAUGUGAGCAUUAUCAAAUACUUUUGAAGGCUGCUUCUCACUAGUAGCCAAUGAGGUGCUUGGUAUCACAAUGCAAGAGGGCCGAUUUGUGAUAAUAUAUUUCCUCUUGGGUUUGAUUUAUUGGUUUAAGGGAGAGAUGUUCAGUUAUGUGGCCAAGGACAACCAUUCCUUUCGCUUUGCAAUGCUUCGUGAAGAAACCAAACUGGACUUAUCUCAUCAAAGCUCACAGUUUGGAGCAAAACCAAAUCAAGAAUUUCAACCACUGAAAAUCUUGGUUCACAAUAGUUUUUUAUAUUUUAUACCAUCUCUUGAGUUUAAACAAUCAGGUAAAACACUUUUAAGAAAUACGAACACAACAUAUGGACAGAAGCAUCAUAUCCUAUUGCAUCAUAAAGUACUAAUGAAGGAAUAAUUCUGUCCAUUCAUUUCCUUUUUUUAUUCUUUUUUUUACCUCUUUCCAUUAACCUAGCAUGGAAUUCGAAGAUCAAUACCUACCCAAACCAAUACCUAUUGUCAACUAUAGACAACCUGAAAGCCUCAUCACUUUGGUUUUUCACUAUUGUCAAGAUCACUUAUUGCCUUGUCCUUAUAAUAGGGUCAUGAAAGUUUGAGUGUCCCCUGUCCUUAGUCAUUAAAAUAAGGGAGAACAGGUGUUGGUUAAACUGGAUCAUAAUAGUAGCCAAAAAGACCAUAAAUUUUUCUUUCCUAAGCCCUUCACAGGCCCUUCAAGAGUCUUCCACCGGGCAUAACGUACCACGAGUGCUUUUCCUGAGAUACCUAUUGUGAAACAUACUACAAGGUUAUUUUUUAUAGGCAAACUGUGUGUAGGAGACACACAAUUUAGGUGGCAAGGCAUGCACAACGCUCCACAGAAUCCCUACUUCAUACAUUUUAAGAUGCCCCAAGGCACUCAAGCAUUGUAGCACUUGGCAGUGGUGUCUGCCCGUGACCUCAUCAAAGCAGAAAUUUAAUAUGUAAGGUUGAUCAAUUCAAAAAGCAAGACCUAUUAUGUUUCACUUGGCAGACGAGAAAAGCACUUCUAUGCAAUACAUUGUCAAUCCACCUCAUGUAAAUAAGCUCAUGUUCUUAUUAAUUGAUUUUUUUCUUAAAAACCUUUUAACUAUCUUCCCUCUUAACUUCCAAACUGCUGUAACUGUCGAGCUUUUUUUUCCAGGAAACUCCAUACAAACACACACAUAUACAUUUGGUAACACAAUUAUUCAGAUGGAUGCAGUAACUGGAAAUCAAUACCAAACUUACAAAAAGACAGAAGAUCUCAGAUCCUCUCAUUAUCAUGGCAUGCCUUUUUUCUUAAGUCUUUUUAUUCAAACACAUGACCACCUCAGGAAUAAAAUCAUUCUGCCACUUGAAAAUAACAGUGAUAAUUAGGUUUAGAAUAAUUCUCCAAAGAAAAUUCCCCUCCGAAACUCCAGAGAUCGCAGCACGUCCACGAGUACUAAAAUUCACUUCCCAGAUCAAGAAAUUCAUAGCAUGCACCUUAUUCUAAUGAUCUAUAUUCUGGAAAAGAAUGAUGAAACCUGUCCAAGAAACACAUUUUAGAAAGUAUAAUGUGUGAGUGGCUUCAUCACCGAAAAAGAUACAAAAAUAAGAUUGCCCCAAGUCCCAUGAAGCUAUAACCCUGGAUUAAGUUCUACCGGAUACCUCCAUCUCUAUAGCACUAUAAUGUAAAACGCAAAACUGAAACUGUCUUAGGUCAUCCUUCACUAUCUGGUAAGUUUACUAUGGCAUUAAAACACCAAAUAUUGAAAGCAUACCAAACUAGAAAACCUGAAUUCUCACUGGAAAUGACAAACCUUAGAUAACACCGUUUAAAAUCAAUUCUACCAGGUGAAACAAGCUAUUCAGUUGCACCUCUAAUGUUCGGAUGACUGCAGCAAAGAAUCUAAGCCAAGGCUACAGUAAAGUUCAACAAUGUUCACACCAUCACCCUAAUAUUAGAGGGAGAAACAUGUGGAGGCACAAACAGUUAAUAUUGCAGGUGUUCUUUCAUCAACCUGACCAAUAUUCCCAAAAGAUAUCCACUAAAUCAGACCACGCACGAGAUAAAUCAACAUGUUCUUAAGCAGGCUAGCAGACAAUAUGCUGCACAGUUGAACUGCACAUGAAUGAAGAAGAAAUUACCAUCACUGUGCACCAAAGUCGUGUCUUUGGUUCCCAAUAAAAGACUAGAUUCUAUUACUUCUCUAGACUGCAUGUGUUUUUAAGCCUUGUGACUGUAUUCAAAGCUACUUUGACUCGGUACAUAACUGAACAAUACUAGUAGGAGAAUGACAUCCAUGCUUCAGAUAACAGGAAAAAUCAUUGAGAUAGUUGACUACACCAAAUGAAACAAGAAAACGGGCAGAAGGAUUUCGUACAAGCAAGAGACAUAAAGUUUAUACCAAGGAAGCAUGUUUCAGCUAUGAAUACAGCAUAAACUGUUGAGAAGGCAUGUUUAUGACUACAACCAAGACAGAUGUGACGUGGAAUGUGCUUUUCCUUUUCAUAAUUGAAAGGAAGCUAUUUAAUCAAGUAAAAAAGGUCACAAAGAGUACCUCAGCAGUAUGAUCUUUCAUUAUGCUGACAGUUAUAGCUCCAAUCUUCCAAACCUUGUCAAACCCGCACAGUCUGCAGAUCAAACACAUGCAUCUAGAGAAAGUACGACAAAAUUACAGUAGUAACUACUUCAACAAACUAUUGCAAUCUUUAUGGUUAGAAUGAAGAGCACAACAUAUACAGAGCCAACCACAUGCAAAAUGGAAAUAUUCAUCACAAUUAUUUAUUUUCUUCUCUUUUCCCCUUCCUUGUCAUAAGGGGGACUAGAGCAAAGAAUUGCAGAGUUCUCAAAAGAUUCACAUGUUCAGUAGCUUAGCAUGUCAGAUGAAUAGUACAUGCCACCAAAAGUUCAUGUUGUACUAGGGACACAAAGAAAUAUAUUCUGCAAAGAAAAAGUUCCAAAAAAUCCAGCUGCCAGACAUUUUUAACAUCUCCUAACACCCUUAGGGGGAAAAACAUACAUUCUGGCCUGUAGGUUGAUAAAUCCAAUAGGAGGAUGCAUAAUGCCUGAUCAAUUCAAAUCAUCCAGAAAACAAGGAAAAACCAUGUCUAUCAAACCUAUUCAAAGAAUCGGGCAAGAGCAUGGGCAUAUAACAAGUGUUAUCCAUACCAGGCUGCUAAUUGUUGUAUUGUACAGUUGACCCAAAACAUUUCGCAAUAACCACAGCAUUUUGGGGAAGAUUAUCUUCAAGUCAUUCAUUUUAAAGAUUCAUCCAUACCCAAACAAAAAUUCUUUCGCACCUUUUCCUUGCUCUGCAUUGUCAACCUCCAAUUACCCAAAAAGGCCACUGCUCGAUCUAUGUGUCUCAAAACAAGAAAAUAAAAAAUGCACGUGACCUCCACAAGCAACUGUCUUUUGAUGAAACAAUCAAAUAGAAGAGCAAAUAAGGUAUUGCAUCAAUAUAAUAUAAUGUCUCUAGGACUAUGACCGAAGACAGCUUUCUAUCACAAUCCAUUUUCUCCUCUAGCACACUUGGCACCAAUAGCCCAUAUUCCUACCAGUAAUAUUGCUGACCAAACAUCAAUGUCACAAUUACUGUAGCAAUGUCCUCUGAAGGCAAGCCAAAGAUUCGCAAAUUGUGAUCCAUUGAUCCGACCGCAGUGUAUUUUGAAUCUGGACUGAACUUAACGCACCUCACUUUACCUGCAAUCAAAACAAGAAUAUUGGCAGGGGCUACGUUUAGAGACAUGCAAGAUUUCAAAGAAGAAAAAAGGAGGAAAGGAGGAAAGGAUGACAUCUCCCAGAUUGAUGAGGGAAAGUCUUGAUACAAAUCCACUCUGAUUUUACACUGGCAAUUUGAUAGGCUCUGGCAAAGCACAAAAUUAAGGUUAUUCCAAAAAAAGCUGGCACUACUUAAUCAAAAGAAGAUGAAAGUCAGAAUUCUAAACAAGUCCUGAUUCUAGUCAUGCAUUUCCCUUGAACAGAAGGAUAGAAGGGAAAUUUAAGAGCUUUCUAUAUGAGAGUCGCUACACAAAACCUUUUGUUUUACUCCAUCUUCUUGCGAGUAACGGCAAGUGAUGGCACUGGUGUCUUAUGCACCUGGAUUGUUGGCAACACGCAAGGGGCAGUGCUUGGUGUCAUGCUAGAAUGCCCCUUAAAACCUAUAGCAAAAAGGAAAUGCCGGGUAAUCCAUAACAUUCUUGAUUUUGUUGUCACUGUAUUUGUAAUCAUCUUCUGUUCGGUCUUGAUUGAGUUAUUUUAGUCUUCUUUCUUGAUUCAAAGCCUCUUGUUAGUAACGGUUCCCUGUUCACUUGCACGGGACAAACCAAACAUUCGCGUUCACAACCUUAAAUGGGCAAAAGAGUUAUAUUAGUUGUUGAGGCACUCUUCCAAGUAUGUGAUGGGGCCAAACGGCUGAUUGUGCCGGUUACUUGAGAUUCAUUCCUGUUUAAACUCAUUUCAACUUCAAAUGAAGCUUGCUUUCUCAGAGUGAGGAAUUCUUGUGGGUGUGUGCGGUUAUUUCUGUAAUCUGUUUUCUUCAAUGUGUGGAUUAAUAGAGAAGAGAAGAUUCGAUGCCAUGCAGAGUAAUAUACCUGACUGGGAAUUAUACUUAGAAUUAGCAAUCUGUUCAUAAAGUGAAAUCACAAAAGAACAAGAGAUCCCUAAUUACAACAGGGUACGUAGAGGAGUUCUAACUCCAGAAACAGAAGCAGACAAUCAAGGUUAAACCAAUGGGAUGAAAAACUAUUAAAUGUACACAGUUCUAUGAACAUUGCAACGAAAGAGUUUCAUCUAGGCUAAACCUUUGGCACCUUUUCACAUCAUGCGGGAGUUUGCCAUCACCAUCCGUUUGAAUAGAUAACUUGCAUCUUGGUAUAUGGAUUCAAUAGUUUAUUUGGUAAUUAGGGAAUAACAUUAUCGCCAGUUUCUUUAACUGGAGACUACAUUGUGCUUUGAUCCCGACGGUAUGUUUAUCAAGCUGUGCGUGCAAAUACAGCCCAAUGAGAGGAUGGGUCGUUCCUGAAAUCUUGCACAGCAAUAGUACAGAGAGUACUCAACAAGGCAAAAUUCAAAAAGAGUCGCUGAUCUUGACUAUAGUAUUACAAGAUAGUUCAUCCUCAAAUUCAGUUGCAUGAGUAUCCACAUUCCAGUCAAGCACAUUAAAACUCAAACUCUACUUACCAUCUCAUUAUUCUAGCAAACCGAGGAUGAUUGAAUGGGCAUUCAUUGAGCAGACAUCUAACCCGACAUCUGGACAGAGUACUAAAAGCACGAUAAACUUACUAAAGAAUAGACUUUUGACACUAUUUUUUUCUUCAAAAUCCACAAGAUCAUUCAACAGCUCCACCACCAAGGUGGGGAGAAACGAGAGUUUCCAAAUAGAUGGCAUAGUCGGUAUCGGCAUAGUCGGUAUCAAAGUCCGUCCCUAAGAGAUGAUCUUGGCAAGUAUUAUCCUCUGGAUUAAACAGAAUCAUCCACUUCCUAUCCAUCAAAAAAACAAUUUUUCCACUCCUUGUGUACGCAAGGGGGAUCUUCUCGAAGGGCCUAUUCCAAUUUAUGAAGCCAUUGGAAUCAAUACUGAACCAUUUUUCCCACUGUGCUCCUAUCCUGUACUCAUCUGUCAUCCAUGCCUCAAUGCGGGGAUUUUGGGCAGUAUUGUAUAUGAACAGAUUCGCCCCAUGAAUCUCGAGUCCCAAGAGGAAUAUGUCCUCAUCGACUGGAGGGACUGGAAGCACCUGGUGAAAUUUCUCUUCCGACAAGUCAAAUGACAGAAUCGCAGAAAAGCCCUCAUCAUUCAUGUUCCAGACAUAGACGUGGCAGUGUAAGGCCCCUUUCCAAUAAACUGCUGGGUGGCCACAUUCGACUUCCUCUUCCUGGAACGGAACUUCUAUCAUCAUCAUUCUCCAGGAACAGGAUUUGAGCGAAAAUAUUGCCACCUUCCAAUUUUCAACUUCAACAACAUCCCCUACUACUAGGGCUAUUUUGUAGUCAUCAGAUUGAGAGUCAUAUCCGAAUCCAUAGAAUGAAUCAUUUCUGGCCCCUCGGAAUAACGUAGCUUGAUCAACAAAAUCGGAACCGGGCAGCUCCAUAUACUCCCUGGUGGUCGGGUUAUAUAUGACAAAAUUGCUGGGGCCAAUUAAACAUACCAGGCCAUCGCAGGACCCCACGAUGCGGGAAGGUUCGAUCCCAUGAGGUACCACCAUGCGACCCUCGCCGCCGUCGAGCGCUUCGUAGUCCACGGUCUUGAGGG